rnacentral:lncRNA from 1 species
ACCUUCAAUUCUGACCAUCUCGUGAUCAAGUUCUUUCCUAAGUCUAAAUUUUGAAGCUUCUUAUUAAAAGCCAACUCGGCCGGAAGAGUAUAGCCAAUUCAGAGAGUGAGACAGAGAAAGACAACAUAAGAAAUGAACAAAAUAUCAAUCAUGAUAUUAACAAAAAAAAAAAAAUUAUGAAUUUGAGGAUAGCCUGCUAUCAUAAAAUGACCACUGGGUACAUGAUAUACCUUAAUGUCAUUGUCAGAAAGUCGGAGUUCUUUCAAUUCUGUGCAAGACUUGAGCGAAGAACCAAUAAUCUGGACUUGGCAGUUUGAGAGAGAGAGCUGGAACCAAUCUUGAUUAACAGCCUUAGCAACAGUCUUUCAAAAUAAUAGCUAACGGCAAUUAAUGACCAAAGCAUUGCUUACCUUUGUAAUAGCUUUCAUAUUGAGCAGAGAAUCGCCAAUUUUGCGAAUUGGAUUUCGAGAAAGAACUGCUUGAGAAACAAACAUUUAUCCCAAGAAUCAACUUGAAUUCCAAUAAUGCUUUGAUCUGAACACAGUAUCAUCAAUCACGAACAUGCAAAAUCAAAAAGAAUUGCACACAAGUUUGCCAUCUCCUCAAAAUCAAACAGGUUUGCUCUCUACUCAAAAGUCUUUCGACCAUGCCUUAACCAACCACUCCUUUAAACCAAAUCCUAGAACAAGUAAAAUUUAUAGAGUUAAAAAUUAUUGACUCUAAGAAAAAUGUAAUUGUUACUUCUCUAAGAAUUACAGCUCUUAUUCCUCUCCCAUUCUCGCCAAAGUUCUAUAUAGACAACACCACUUGAACAAAGAUAGGCUAGAGCAUGUAAUGUCAAUCUACUAACAAACAUCAGCCAAGCAGGGACGGAGCCAGCGUGGGACGAGGUGGGGCACAGGCCCCAGCUGGCUUUUAAUUUUUUUUUUUGAUAAUUAUACUAAAAAUAUGUAUUUUAUUUAUUAUUUAUGAAAAAUACCCCAGCUGAAAUGUAAAAUUUGAAAUUGACUCUAGUAAUUUUAAAAUAUUUCAUAUUGUCCCUAAUUUAAAUUUUUUAUUAUAAAUUAUUUAAUUAGUUAUUAACAUUUCAUGAAACUUUAUUAAAGACACGAGAACAAAUAUUAAAAUAAAAAAUCUUCAUAACAAAAUGUUAGUAUAAUGGUUAAUGGACCAGUUUUUAAUCUUUUUAUUUUUUAUUCAAGUAAAAUUAAUUAUUUAGUCUUUCAACACUGACCAUAAGUUGUAAGUCUACCUAAUUCUAAUUUAUAAUUUUCUAAUUAAUCUUUUGUCUAGUUUUAAAAUUUAUAAUUUUAUCAUGCAUUUCAUAUUUGUUCUAUGUGUUGCAAUAUAUGAAUAUUUUUGUUAUUAUUAAAAGAUUUUAAGAGCAAAUUAAGUAAUAACCUAGUCUUGUAUAUUGAAAAAUAUAUUUUUGCUUAUAUUGAUAAUUCAUUAUUUUCAACUCAUAAAAUCCCAUUGAGGAGAUUUCACGGAGAACCAUUGUAAUAAGUAAAUUUAUUAUCAAUUAAUAUUAUAGUUGUAAUGCUAUAUAUUGAUAUCUAAUUUUAAAAAAUGUAUUAUACUUUAAAUAGGGUUUCAAUUAGAUACAUACAGACGCACUCUAUAAGAAGUACAAUUGUACAUGUAGCAAGCUCCCAUUUAGAGUUUAUGGGGCCCACAAUACAAUUUCUCAAAUGACGACUUAUCACACGAGCAAUCGUACAUUCGAGUCAUGUUUGAUUUUAAAUGUGCCCCGGCUCUAUCAAAAUCCUGGCUACGUCCCUGCAGCCAAGGAACAGAUUUUAUCAAACACAAUGAAGUGUGAACAUGAAGAAAUAAGAAUCUGUGCCAAGAGUGUUCAAUUCCUUCAUCUGAUCAAGUUUGCAUAUCGAAACAAUCUCAUUGUCUGCACAACCCCCCCCCAAAAGAAAAAAAGGUUAAAAAACGAACUGAUUUCCAUAUUUUAUAUCACCAACUUACAAAAAGGGUGCUGCAAUUAGGGUCUAAAUCUCACCAUUCAGAAUUAAAGCACAUAAGCUGACGACAGACAUCACCUCAUCCAUCGAUCUAAGCUUAUUUUUGCCCGCAUUCAACACCUGAAUUUCAAAGACAGAACAAGGUGAAUUUAAAUAAUCCAAUUAGCUCAUCAUUUCCAAACCUAAACUACUUCAAACAACUAGUUUAGAUCGAGCAAGUGUCCCAAUGGACAAUAAUAACAAACGGAUAAAAGAUUUCAACCAAAUCGCCAGAAACAAUAAGCAUUGAAACCUUCUCAUGGGAAAACAAGAAUCUCUCACAAGCAACCAUUUAAAAGUGUACAAAAUGUAAAAUAUCACGAACAAAGCAAGGGAAUGACACUUACAGUGAGCUUAGAGAGUCCUUCGAUUCCUUUUAAGCUUUGCAAUUUGUUUUGCACAACUGAUAGCCACUUCAAAUUCACGCAAUGCCUCAACCCCUUCAAAUAAAAUUAAAAAAAAUGAAAUUUCAUGCCAAGAAAUGAUAAAGCCGUAAAUUUGUUACUGGGUGUUGGGGAAAUGAAUGAAUGGUAGGCACCUCAAGAGAAGUGAGGUUGUUGGAGCUAAGGUCGAGUCCAAGUUGUUGAAAUCGGUCAAGCAAGAGACGCCAGAGAGAGCUUUGUGAGUGAGAGUCAGAGAUUUUAUGGAAUUGGGAUCGCCAGUAUUGUUGUCCUUCAAAAUUUGCUCGGUGCUCAGUCGUGUCAUGAUUUGGCUUCUUCGGUUUAGUCCUUGAGAAUUAGCAAAACCCUAGCUUUGAAUGUCUCUGCUUCCAGGGUUUAUCUCUAGACUCUCAGGCAGGGUUUGUACCGUACUCGUUUGAGUCAACCGACACGUCGUUUCAAUGUAAUUCUUUUUUCAGACCUGAAGGAGUUCAUAUUAGUGAAAUUUGUGAUCCAAUUGUUAGGUCAAGUCACAAAAAUAGCUCAACUUUUCUCUCUCUCUCUCUCUUUUUUUCCCUGAGCCGGAUCACAAUGCCCAAAAAUAUGUUUGUUAUAUAUUUUUCCUUUAAUUAGGUUUGAAUGGAAAGAAGAAACCUCCCUGUUAAAUAUCAAACUCUUAAACCUUUUAUUACUAAUUGAAUUUGAGUCAUUUUGAGCGCAAAAGGCAUUCACAAUCAGUCGAUCUCUGCCUAAAAUCAUCUAUGUUAUAUUAACUGUAUAUAGUUCAAAUAGUCUAUCACACACAGUCACUUAGUCAUAAACAAUUUAGUUUUUUCAUCUCUUUAUCACUGGCACCGAACACCAUUUUCUUCACUCAUUCAAGAAAAUGUUUAGGCGUGUUUGGAAUAUUGUGAGACUUUUUUUUUUUUUUUUCUAAAAUACAAAUUUAAUUUAGAGAAAAUAUUUGUAAAUUAUCUAAAACAGUUCUUCAUUAGCAAUGUCGGAUGGACUAAUGAAUGGACAACUCUUAUUUUUUACCCUCUAAAACGAAGAAACAUAAAUUUUAUGUAGAGAUUGGACUGUGAAAUCAAUAGCCCUCUCGUUGAGUCCUUUUGCUUAAAUUCAUUUAAUCUCGACACCUGCUUAGGUGAUCUAAAUGCUGAAACAUGGUGAAAAAAUAGUGCAAUUUCGGAGGGCUCCAAUGUCCAAUUCUUUCCUUUUAUUGUAAUGAUCGAGUGACAUUGCAUCCUGGACCCCAAGUACAUAAUAUAACAAACAUACAGUCACGGAAAAAUCUAGUAAUAUCUUCUUACAAAGCAGCCAAAUUCAUCCAUAAAGCCAUCCAAAAAAUGACAGUACUUGUACCUCCAUCUUCUGCUGACAAGUAGAGGACCUAUGAAACACCAAAACCCCACUACAAAUCCAAGUGCCACGCUUACAUACAACAACCAGUCCACUUCGUCUUCAUCUUCGUUUCCAUUUCCAUUUGGAUCUUCAGGUACAAGAGGAUUAUUCCCAGUACAAUUAGGAAGUGGAGCUCCGCAUAGAUUGUUGCCGGCAAAACAGGAUGAAUCUAAGCUUUGCAAUUGAGUGCUUGAAGGAAUUUUCCCAGUCAAGUGAUUGUUGGACAAGUUCAGGUGAUUUAAAAAUGACAAACUUGACAUACUUUGGGGAAUUUCACCAGAAAGUUGGUUCGCUGAGAAAUCGAGGGACUCAAUUGAUUUCAUAUUACCAAUUUUCUCAGGAAUUUUUCUGCUGAAAAAAUUGUGGGACAAAUUCAGUGAUUGCAGUCCUUUAAGAUUUGUCAGUUCCAUAGGUAUUUCUCCCGAGAAAUUAUUCUUCGAAAUGUCUAUGCUUCUUACCAAAUUCAGAAUGGAGUCAUAUUCAACCAUAAACCCCUUCGUCACAACUGAUGCAUCCAGCGCAGCUUCAGUCCCAUCCAUCAUUGUAACGUAAGAUAUGGCAUUCUGUAGAUUAGAUGAGUCCGUCGUCGCCAUAGCAGUGAAGUUACUGAUGCAUCUGGGUAUGGUUCCCGAGAGAUUGUUGUUUGCAACAUCCAAAAUUUGUAAAGAAGUUAGACGACAAAGUUGAAUUGGCAAAUAGCCGUGAAACUUGUUUGAUCGAAGAAUGAGUAUCGACAAUCCAGAAAAUCUCUCCCCCAUCCAUGUUGGGAUGUUCCCGACAAACUCAUUUUCAUCCAUGUCAAGAUAUACCAAACCUGAACAAUUUUGAAAUGACGCAGGAAUGACUCCAGACAAUCUAUUAUUGCGCAGGUUCAAUGACCAAAGAAAACUUAAAGUUCCAAUUGAAGCCGGAAGACUACCAGUAAGGUUAUUGUUACCUAAAUUCAGCAUACCCAAGCCAGGCCAAUUCAUCCAACAAUCAGGUAUAUCCCCAGAAAAGUAAUUUUUCGAGAGUUGGAGAUAAGAAAUGCUCUUUAACCCAUUACAUAUUAAAUGAAAAAUGGACCCCGAAAAACCAUUAUUAGAAAAAUCAAGUAUGCCAGAUGAGGGAGGUAGAAGAGGCGAUGGACGGUUAUCAAAAUCUAAAUUUGGAAUCUCACCGUAGAUUUGGUUGCUGGAGAGAUUCAAAUACUUAUAUUGGGAAAUGGAAUUCCAAAACCAACGAGGAAUAGUAUCAGAAAUUCUUGUGUUGGAUAUGUCCAAAUCAGACAAAUGCUUUUGUGAAUGAAGCCACGAUGGAAAAUGAGGCCCUAAAUGACAUGACCUCAAUUGCAAUGUAUCGAGUUGAAAAGGAGGAACCCAGUUUGGAUUGACUUGCAAGAUUAGCGGGUUACCAGAUGUAGAAAAUGAAGUCAGUUUUGUUAGAUUGACAAAAUGAUUUUCAGAAAGUGUUCGACUCAUCCUAUUGUUGGAAAAAUCUAGAUAUUCUAAAUGUGAAAAUUUUCCCAAAGACAAUGGAAUAGAACCAUUCAACAAGUUGUUGGACAAAUCUAGAUAUUCUAAGCUUAAAAUUUGUCCUAGAGACAAUGGAAUGGAACCAUUCAGACUGUUUCUGGAAAGAUCUAGAUAUGUCAAAUACGUAAGUUCUCCUAAAGCAGAUGGAAGUGGACCUGAAAGAGAGUUGUUACGUAGUUGAAGUUUGUUCAAACUUUUAAAUUGCCCAAGUUGAUUUGUCAAGUGACCUGAAAAUUGACAACUCCUCAAAACUAGUGACUCUAGUACAUGUGCACCACAUGCAGAGAAAAUAUCUAAAACUUCUGAUAAGUCUUGACUCAAUUUGACAAACGACAGAUCGAUUGAUGUCAACUUACAAAGCCGUACAAACGAUGUUGGAAUCUUCCCUGCAAGAUCAUAAUUUAAGGAAAGGUCGAGAGUUUUGAUAGAAGUCAAGUUUUCUAGACCCAUCGAUGAAAUUGUGCCUAGCAAGGAAUUAUGUUGAAGAGAAAGGAACUCAAUAUCAUUAAGCUUAGACAACCAACCAGGUAUUGCAGAAUUGAAUUCAUUAUAAGAUAAAUCAAGAUGCCUAAGAAACGUCAAGUUUCCUAGUCCGUUGGGGAUUUUACCUUGAAAUUGAUUACCGCUUAGAUCGAAAAAGACUAAAUUAUGAAGACCAAAAACCCAACUGCUAAAUUGAAACAAAGAGUUAUUAAAUUGGUUUUUGGAAAGAUCGAGGGUCUUAAGGGAGGAAAAAUUAGCAGAGGAUGACGGAGGAAAGUGAUGGAGUUCACAGUAGGACAACUUUAGUACUUUUAAAGAAGAGAGUGAGUUUGUGACAAGUAACCAAUCAGUGGCUUUGCUAAGGUCAGCGUCACUCAGAUCGAGGUGCUCUAGCAAAGAGAGACCAGAUAGCCAUGAAAAACUUUCAACUUGUGACUCAUAAUUCUCACUGAGAUCAAGAUAUUGAAGAUUAGAGAGAUUUCCAAGUUGGUAAGGAAUCACUCCUGCAAAUUUGGCUCUAGAGAGAUUCAGGUAUCUAAGGUUCUUAAGAGAACCAAGAUAUUUGGGAAUUUGAAUUCCAUGGAAAUCAUUUCCGCUUAAGUCCAAGUGAAUCAAAUGCGUUAAGUCAACCAAAGAGGGAUUUAUCUUACCAACCAGCUUUGACACCGUCCCAUAAUUAGGAUCAGGGUUUCCGAGGUUGAGCUGAAGGACAUGGCCAGUGAAGUUGUUACAAACAACACCAUCCCAUGCACAGCAAUCUCCAUCACCAAUAUUCCAAGAGGCAAGACGGUUUGAAGGAUCAUUGAGAUCUUGCUUCAACUUUAAAAGCGCUUGUCUCUCACUGUCUAUGCAAGCCACGUUAGAGUUGGCAAUGCAGAAGCUGAUGUUGAUCAUGGUAACUAAAGUAAACAACUCAAGAAAGAGAAGGGCAACAGAAACACUCAUGAUGGUUGAUGUCAUUGCUUUGGAUAGUGAUGAAUUAAUUAUGGGGAAAGGAAGUGUGCUUAUGAUGAGAAUGUUAUUAUAUUGCUUGAUAUUUAUAAUGUCCUCCGUUUGCCCAUAUGAUACGUUUGCAUCAAUCGAAUUUGGUACGUAAUAGUAUGCUUGAAAAGGAUUUAUGAUCUCAGUCUCACAUUUCUGCAAGAAAUUUCCGUGCUCGUUGCUUUGGAUCAUCAUCAAGUCUUCUAAGUCAUCAAUUAACUGCUUGCUGUGGCCCCCCCCCCGGGUGGAAUUUGAACUUGCAUUAUUACAGUGGGAGAUACAAACAAAGAAACCAAAAAAAAAAAAAAAAGAGUUUUAGAAAAGGAAUUGAAUGGUUAAAAUGAUAUACUUUAAAGUUUAGAGUAAUAGGCUAAUUAUGAAGUUUCAGAGUUUUAUGUUGAAUUUUUGUUAUAAGUUUCGUCUCAACUGCGAUGGUUAGGUUUUGAAUCAAAUACUUUACAAGGCGUUUCCAAGGCAGAAAACUGUUGAAACCCUGAGUCGAAAAGCAAUUGAUAUAGGUUUUGUAAUAGUUGUUUUCAUUUCUGUAGGACAAUAAAUAAACUCGUUUGAUUUGUUUUUUCACUUAAUCUCUAAAUUUAUUUCACCGGGUUAUCCGGAAAGUGUUUAGCUCGUGUGGUAGAUUUUGUCUCUCUGUUAAUUUGGGCCGACAAAAACUAAGGAAAUAGGAUCAGGAUCCGGUGCUCAGCUGAGUUUGUGCUGAGCACCAUAUCAAUGGUCAGAAAUUGCUUAAAGCCUAUAGAAGAUAAUUGCUAACCAUUGAUCGGGUGUUCAGCACAAACUCAGCUGAGCACUGGAUCUGUUUCCAAGAAAAUAUCAUGACCACCUCUUUCUCUUGUCGGCAAGAACUUUCGUGCUCAAUGCUUCGGGUCUUUAAAUUCUCAAUGUCAUUGAUGGCUCCUCCAGUGGACUUGCUUUUGGCAUUUUUAGUCAAGGGGGAAAAAAAGGUCUUGGCUAUUUUAUGGAAUUGAAUAAUCAUUAAAAUAUUUAAUUACUAGUAUAUUAUUAAUAUUUUAGAGGAAUUAAAAUUUAUUUUUUCAUCCCGAUAAUUCUUCCUAGCGAUGGUAGAAAGGCUCGACCCAACUAUUGGCCUGGCCAAAUUGAUCUAACCAUAAUUUUUAUGACUUUAGCCUCAGUUUAAGGAGUUAAUGACUGAGUUAGGGCUCAAAGAAUCAGACCCAAUGUCGGGCCUUAUCAAAAAACUUUGACCGAUCCUCAAAUGAAUUUUUAAAAUUAAAAAAAUAACACUUGAAAGUUAAACGUACAUACCACUCGUGGUCACAACUCACUCUACUAAUAUUUGUCCCUAUUUCAUAUUAAUUUAAUAUUUAAUAUUUGAUUUAUUUACUUGCUAAUUUGGUUAGAUUGUUACAUGUUAUAUUGUUGUUAAUGCUAAAUAAAAAAUUAAUUAAUUUAAUUCCUUACACCCAAAAUCAACAAAAAAUGGAACAAUAAUAAUACAAUAUAAUCUAUCUAUAUAUAUAUAUAUAUAUAAAGCUGAGACUUGAGAAGGUGAUGUGGCAUCACCAUUUCUCAUCUUUGUAUAUUCUCUAUUAUCUAAUAAAUAGAGAAAUUUUCUUUUAAAUAUAUAUAUAUAUAUAUAUAUAUAUAUAUAAAGUUGGGACUUGAGGAGGUGAUGUGGCAUCACCAUUUCUCAUCUUUGUAUAUUCUCUAUUAUCUAAUAAAUAGAGAAAUUUUCUUUUAAAUUUGGCUUUUUAUUUUCUCAUAAUUAAUUUGAUUGUUAUUACACAAUAACAAUUAUGUAAAGGUUUUAAUGAGGCAUAUUCUUUGUAAUGAACAUCCAAGGAGGAGUGUUAUGAAUUUAUUAAAAUAAAUGUAGAUGUUCAUAACAUAUAUCUCUUAGUCUCCCCACUAUCUCCCAUUAGCAACCUUUAACUUCCCUAUAACUCCCACUAUCUCAAAAUGAAUUAUGAUCCAUAAUUUUUCAUUAAUUUCAUGGAGUGAUUAUGUAACUAUAAAAAGAGAGCUCAUCUUUUUGUUUUGUACACACACAAUUGGAAUGAAUAAAAUCACUCUAUAAUAUAUUCUCUCAUUUAAUUCUUUAUCUUGCGUUACUUCUUUAUUUGUAUUGCUGAUUAAUAACUUUUUUUAUUUUUUAUAAGGCUGCCUCAUCUUAAAAAAAAAUUAAUUUAUAUUUUUUAUCAGUUUCAUCAAGUGUAAAAUAAAAUAAAAAAGAUAAUACUAAAUUUAUUUUUCAAAACCGCGUGAAGCGCAGUUCUAUUUUCUAGUUUAUAUUAUAUUUAAGAGCUUUCUAGUAGUAGUGGGGUUACGUUGCCGUGUUGUUUAAGCAAUUCAUUUGAUGGGAAGACCUUGACUUGGUGUCUUUGCUUUCCUUCGUGGAAAAUUUUAAGCCAAAAGCCAGCUUGACCCCCCAAAAGGGAAAGCUAGCUAAAAUUUGCGGAAAUUAAUGUUGGAAUAUUUUAUAGUGGCCCGUGUGCCACAUUAUAAGUUAGUAAUAAUUUAGGAUUUAAAUAAUAAAAUAAAUUAUGGGCUGAAAUUUUAAAAAUUAAUUGCCCACUUUGAUGGAAAGUAGGAAUUAUGGUUUUAUUAAAAUUGAUCCCCUCUCCACCCAAUAUAAAAAGGAUAUCACUUUAAUUUUCUCUCCAUCAUAAAGUAAAUCACUCUAUAGGGGUCAAGAGAGAUAAAUCAAUUUUGUUAAUUUUUAAUUCCUUACAGUGAUAUUUUAUCAAAAAAAAUUCUCAUGGAUCUGGGUAUGUUUUCUCUUAAUUAUGAUGAUGUAAAAAUCAUGAUAUUUUAUAAUUUUAAGAAUUAAAGUUUAUGCAAAUUAGGAUUUAUUAGCUUUAUGAAAAUUAUAAAAAAUUCCAACAAUUAGUAUCAGCGCAAUAAUUAGAAUUCGUGAUUUUCAAUUAAAGAUUAUGGUGAUGUAUAUAUAUUUCCGCUGCAACGGCCGUAUGAAUUUUUCCUGCGAUUUAUGAAAUUGUGAACCAUUGUUCACGUGAAUUACUCAUGAAUCUAAUGGGCUUUUAUAUUUUAUUAUUAUUAUUAUUAUUGUUAUUUUUUUGUCAAGGUUUGACUAUAUCUCAAUUAUGCUUGGGCCAUGAAAGUUUUGUUUUAUGAAUUUGAUAUAGGCUUAUGAAUCUUAAGAACUUGGCCAUGACGAAUUAAUCUGACCAAACUUAUGAAUUAUAUGUCUGAUAUGUUUGAAACUAUUUGCAUAUUAUUGGCUUACAUGCAAUAUUAAUGAACUCAAGGAAUUUAUGUUCCUUUUCUUUAAUAUAUGAUUAUUAUUGUAAGUAUUUUGUAUGCCUAUUAUUUUUACAACAUUCGUCAUUAUAUGAUUUUGAUGUCUGUAUCAUAUUUAAUUUGUUAGUUACCGAAGUGGUUAGAUUAGAAAGUUUUCAUAGAUGUCAAAUCAAGUUCAAUUUCAAAUACUCAUAAUUAUUGUGAUGCUUAUGAUCGAAUGACAUGACAAUUUUCUUGUAUGGGUAUAUUAAAAUUAAUAAAUUAUAAAAUAUUUAAGAAUCGUCUAAAAGUUGAUUAAUUAAUUUUAUAUUCUAUGAUUAUGAUAUAAGUAAUUAAUUUGCUUGAUUAGAUAUGUUUAGUAUAUCUAAAGAUAGCAUAUAUAUCUAAUUAAUGUGUACUUGAUUACUAAUUAUGUGAAAUUAAAGUUAAGUAUUAUUUAUGUUUAUUGAAGUGUAUUGUUGUAUCCAAAGGUGAACUUCAAUAUGCGCCUAAGGUUUAUGUGAAUUUGAUCUAAAUAUAUAUUAUGUGUUUAAGUUCAAAGCAUUAAUGUGUAAGCACUUAUAUAUUUGCAAUAUUUGUGCAUGUUGCUCUUUAUUUGCAAGUUUCAUUUGUUGUUAAGUUCAAUGGCCUUAAUUACUCAGAUUCGUUUGAGCAGAUCCAGUUUCACUUAGGUGUUCUAAAUCUUGACUUAGUAUUAUUAAUAGAGAUGGCAAUUUGGUCCAUUUAAAUUGGAUAUCCAUACAUCCAAUCCAAUUGGAUUGGAUAAUAUCCAUCCAAAAUUUUUUGGAUAUAGAUAUGGAUAUUUUUAAAAAAUAUCCAAAUAAAAAUUGGAUGGGUAUGGAUAUCCAAUGGAUACCCAAUAUCCAAUUAAUAUCUUAUUUGAAAUUAAAAAAUUAAAAUGUAAAACUAAAAUGAAAUAAGCAAAAACAAAUGUCUGGAUAGCAAAACCUAAGAUUAUCACAUCGCUCGCCGGCCGGUCUUUGCUUACCGACGCUCUUCCCCGACUCCGACGUCGCUUUCCGGGGGUUCCGUUUAGGUGCGCCGGCGCUGUACCAAUGGUUGAUCAGCCGUAACUGCAGCUUCCAGCUGUUCUUGAGCGUUUUUCUGCCUCGUUCCAGCUACCAUCGUCUCUGUCAUCGCUGCCACCACCGUCGUCCGUCCGCCUGUUCGUUGUCUCCCGCGCAAGGUAAGUUUUGAUUGCUGAAGCUUAUAAGCCGUUUAAUAUAUAUUUGGCUUUGAUUGAUCUUAUUACCAAAUUUAGCCCAGAAACAGUAUUCAUGUCUUCACAGUACCCAGCAUUUUCACAGUAUUUCUGGUGAUUUUACUAAAAUUAUGCAAAUAUUUUCUUCACCUUUUGUCAGUCACAAAUCUAGAUUUUGAUUAAUUGCUGGAUGGGGUUUAAUUUAGUUUAUGAAUUUGGCUCCAUGAUUAAACAUGAAAUAAGCUUUUACAAGCCUAAAAUCUUAUGCCUUUAUGGCUUCCAUUAUUUUUCUUAUUUUUGUUUACAUGGCUCUGUGUGUGUGUGUGUGUGUGUACAGAGAGAGAGAGAGAGAGAGGAAUUGGAAGAGUUUCAAUAUGCAGUGGUUACUUUCUUCAAAGAAUCUGCUAGUAUAUAUAAUCUAUGGCCUUUCACAUAAUCAUUUGAAAUCUGAUAGUCGAAUUUUCCAACAAAACUUUUUCAGCUUCUAGAGGCCGAAAUCAGUUGAGGCUCCAUUUGCUAUUGGGUGUUGCCAUUUGUGGAAAUGUGGCCCUCCGAUUGUGAAAUAAAAUAUUGACGGAUGCUGGAAGUUAGAUUAUCAUCUAAUUGAUCUCUAUAUGGUUCAUGUUAAGCACUACUACUACUUCCAAACAAACGAGCUAGCUAGUUCUGGAAGUUUAGGGAUUGUUAAUAAUUGCUCUGUAAUGUCUUUUUUUCAGGUUAAUUAUGUCUGAUUUUGAUUCUGAUCCUGCUGUUCAAUUAAACCCUCAAGCCUCAAGUAAUGUUAAUGCUGAAAAUCCACAAACUCAUUCAAUUAGUGGAGGUACAAAACGAGACUCGGAAGGACAACCUAGAAGCUCAUUGAGACAAGCAUCUAGAGCUUGGGACCAUUUCACAAGGAGAACAAUUAAUGGAGAAAUGAAGGCAGUGUGUAAUCAUUGUGGCAAAGGUUUUGCUGGACAGCAAUCAAGUGGAACUUCACAUUUGUUAAACCAUAUUGAUAGGUGUCCCAAACAGAUACAAGAAUCAGCUCCAGCUCCAACUUCUAGCCCUAGUCAAGCAUCUAAGGUCUACAAGAAAAAAGAUGUAUUUGAUAAAGCACUUGCUAGACAGAAAAUAGCAAGAAUGAUAAUCAUGCAUGAGCUUCCUUUGAGAUUUGUUGAGUAUGAAGGGUUUAGGGAUUUGAUGAGUUUUGUUCAGCCUUUGCUUGGUAAAAUUUGUAGGAACACUGUGAAAAGAGAAGUUUUUAAGUUGUUUGAUUUUGAAAAGGCUAAGACAAUGGCUUUGUUGGAGGAUAUUACUAGUAAAGUUUCCAUUACUACGGAUAUGUGGACAUCUAGCAAUCAAAAAAAGGGAUAUAUGGUCGUGACAGUGCAUUUUAUUGACAAUUCGUGGACUCUACGAAAUCGGAUCUUAAGGUAUCAGUUUAAAAGUUUAAUAAAUUUAUUUAUAUUUUAUUAUAUGAACUUUAUUUUAUUUAUUCUUCUAGCUGUAAUUCUGUUUUAUUUUUUAUGAAUUGUGUAGAUUUAUAUAUGUGCCUUCUCCACAUACUGCUGAAGCACUUUCUAAUGAGUUGGCUAAGUGUCUGUUGGAUUGGAAUGUAGAUCGAAGGUUAUCUACAAUAACCAUUGAUAAUUGUUCUACUAAUGAUGCUAUGAUUCCGCUUUUGUUGGCUAAGUUUCCUCCUAGUUCAUUCUUAUUAAAUGGAAAAUUAUUGCAUGUGAGAUGUUGUGCUCACAUUUUAAAUUUAAUUGUUAAGGAUGGGUUAGAUGCGAUAGGAGAUGGGAUUGAAAAAGUUAGAAACAAUGUUAAUUACUGGACAUCAUCACCUAAAAGGAUAGAGCUGUUUGAGGAUACGGCUAAUCGCCAAUUGAAGUUAAAUUGUUCUAAGAGUUUAGUGCUUGAUUGUAAAACUAGGUGGAAUUCGACAUAUUUAAUGCUUGAAGUUGCUUUGAUUUAUAAAGAUGUUUUUACUCGUUUGAAGCAUCGUGAUAACCAAUAUAAGCAUUUGCCUACUGAAGUAGAGUGGGAGUUGGCGAGAGUAGUAUGUGAGCGUUUGAAACCCUUCUAUACUAUGACUGAGAUGUUUUCUGGCACUAAAUACCCAACAGCUAACUUAUUUUUUCCAAUAAUUUGUGAAAUUAGAUUAUCAUUGAAUGCUUGGCUUAAUUCUUCAUGUGAUGUGAUAAAAAAUAUGGCGAAAAGUAUGUUAGAAAAGUUUGGAAAAUAUUGGGAUGAAAUCCAUGGUGUAAUGGCUGUUGCUGUUGUAUUGGAUCCUAGAUACAAAAUGGUUCUAGUGGAUUAUUUCUUUCCUCAGAUUUAUGGUAGUGAUGCAUCAACUCAUAUUGAUAGAAUCCGUACUCUCUGUUCUGACUUAUAUUCAGAAUAUAAAAAAAAAAGUGUGGUUGGAUCGAAUUUGGCUGAAGGAUUUGGUGAGUCUAGUGUUGUUUGUAAUUCUAAUUCUAGUUCAGUUGUGAUGGGUAUGUGGGAUGUGCAAAAAUUUAAUGCAUUCAAAAGCCAACAUAUUCGUAAACGAGUUAAGUCGGAGUUAGAUACUUACUUGGAAGAAGAGGAUAAGACUACUCCAGACUUCGAUAUUUUAAUGUGGUGGAAGGUGAAUAGAAGUAGAUAUCCGAUAUUGUCUGAGAUUGCUAGAGAUUUGCUGGCUGUUCCGGUCUCCACAGUUGCUUCCGAAUAUGCUUUUAGUGCGGGAGGUCGAUGUUUAAGCCCACAUCGUAGUAGACUUCAUCCGAGUACAGUAGAGGCCUUAAUGUGUACUCAGAAUUGGAUAUGGGCUCAAUUAAAAGGUAUCAAAUUCAGCUCACUUAUGCACUUAUUUGAUUUUGAUAGUAUUUGUUUUUUUUUUUAUAUUUUACAAGUUUUUUUUUUUAAAUUAGGUGAGAUUCCUAAAGAUAAAGUGAUGAAUGGGGAAGAAAUAAAUGGAGAAGUGACUGAUAAUGAUGAUGAAGAGGAGACCCAACCAUGUUCUGAAUAGUGUUUAUUUUUCUUUUUUUGGUAUGUGUUUGAUGCUUAUUGUUGUGCCUAAUUGAAGAGUAUAUUUUUAGGAAAGGACCUCAAUGUUACAGAUCCCUGGUGUUCUGUUCUGUGGCCCUGUCUUCUAUUACCUAAUCUUCUAUCCUGUGUUAUUCAUCUUAAGUUUCACUUGAUUUGAAAAUCUAUCCGGCUGCCAAAGAUAUUUCAUUUGUUAUGGCCAUGGUGGCAAAUUAUAUGGUUUCAGAAUUUCCUGUUUAGUUCAUAUCUGCUCUAUUCAUGCAUCAAAUGGCAGGUCUGGCUUUUUUCUGUCAUUUUCUCAUUUACUUCUUGUUAUCAGUUGGUUGCAGUUUGAAAAAUUCCUUGGACAAAGGCAAACCUAAAUUAUACUGGUCAGGCACUCAUCAUAUCCGCAGGUAACUGUCACAACUGGCUGAACUUACACUAUUAAGCUUCUUUCAUUUUUCAUUUGGCUCAUUGUGCAUUUAAUAUUAUCUGUGUUUUGUUUGAAUUUGCAGAUUAAUGAUGAUGAUCUAGUUGGAGAUUAAUGAUGUGUUAGAAGAUUGGAGAUUAAUGAUGCGUUAGAAGAAUGAACUUUUUGUAUUUAAUUUGAAAUUAAUUUGUAAUUUCAUAUUAUAAUUUUUUUAAUUCAUAGUUUUGAUAUUUGUUAUGUUUAUUAUUUUUUAUUUGAUAUUAGAAUUUAAUACUGUUUUUAACUAUUUUAUAUUAUUUUAUUAUUAUUUUUUAUAUAAUCAAAAUAAAAUAUUCAUGGAUAUCCGUGGAUAUCCAUGGAUAUCCAUAUCUUUAUGGAUAAAAUCCAUAUCCAUGUCCAAUAUUAAAUACUGGAUAUGGAUAUGGAUAUAUCCAUCAUGGAUAAUUAUGGAUUUGUAUUUGGAUGGAUAUUAUCCAUCCAUAAUUGGAUAUUUGCCAUCUCUAAUUAUUAACUGAAAGGCCAGCUGUUAUUACUAAUGAAAGUAGUGCUGAAAAGAAAUCUUUCCAUAAUGUUUAUGCGUAUGACAGUUUUUUUUUUUUGGGGAUAAGAUGAGAAUGAGAUGACAGUUUCUAGGUAGAAACGCUAGCUACUACUAGGAGUGCGAAGCUAGCUAGCUGCUGAGGGAUGGCAUUUUUCGAUUGUGAAGAAAAUCACCAAUUUGUUUCGAAGGGAUAUGAAAGCCAAAUCGCAAUUUUGUUUCCUCUAAUCCGUUUCAUUCUGGCAUCUAGGCAUUUUGUUGUAUGUUAAUUGCUUUGCUGGCUCAUCGAUCAAGACCAUUAAUUUAUAUGUGUAGCGUUUCUUAUUAUUAGUUGGAAUCAAUAUAUAGACAAGAAUAGCACAGAGCAAAUGUUUCCAGUCGUUUAAUUGCAGCCAUACAUACACAGCAACAAGCCAACAACGUCCGAGAAAACUCAACAAUAGUAAUGAAAAUUGUACAAGAAAAUCAAGGAUCGAUUGCUGAAGACAGCAAAUCAAUUGAAAAGCAAUAAGAGAAAUGCGUAAUUUGAUGAAGAUAAUGUUGGGGAAAAAUUAGGUUUUUAAAUUUUUUAUAAAACCUUUUGAAGAUCGCUCUCAUAUAAUAUAUAAGAAUUUGUAAUCUAGAAAUUGUACCUUGAAAAUCCGAUUUGGCUUUUUCCGUUGAAGUGAUUUAGGCUCCUAGAUCACGAUCCGCCACCACCACUCCUGUUAGAUCACGAUCCGUCACCACCACACUUGUUAGAUCACGAACUGUCACCAAUGAUCUUUCAGGUUAUGACUCAGGUUCGAUCUGCACUUGACGUGUGGGCGCCUUUAUCACUACCAAAGUAACUAGCACGAGAAAAUUUUUCUCUCACAACAAUAGAGAGAAAAAUAUUUUUCUCUGAUCUGAAUAAAGUGGCUGCUCACUUUUCUUUUGAGAAAAUAAGUCUUUUAUAUCAUCCUUUAGUGAAAAUCCUAGGCUCCAAAUAAUCAAAAAAUAAAACCCACGUUAUUUGCUUUUUCAAUAGGAGACCCACCUUGUAAAAUAACAUAAGACCCCUUACACAAAAGCUAAUUAAAUGGAGCCUCCCACUAAAUGAUAUAUUUAGGCUUUUGACCCAAAUAACUAGUUAUCUUACUUAUUAGUCCAGUAGUGGUGCAGUCAAUUAAAUGAGCUAACCCGAGGAUCAUUUGGGAACAUAUAAUAGUGGCUACAAUAAUUAGGUCUGUAAUUAAACUAGCCCAAUUAUUUAAUUCCAAAUCUACUCCACUAAAAGAUUAGAACCGACUUCCAUAAUUGUAUGCUCGAAUAAUAAUUCGUCCCAAGCCACAUUGAUUUCUUUACUGCACAAUCUUUUGUACCACAUCGUUAAUUAAAUUGAUAUCUCAACUGUCCAAUCAAUUUAAUAACAUCUUAUUCCUUGAUCCUUACUGGUUUUCUCUAAUGAUCAUUUUCAACAUACUAAAUAUGUUGACACACUCUGGCCAGAGAAUUCUAUGAUUAAGUGCCGAAAACCCAUCAAGAGAUGUGUUGUACAAAUUCUAUAUUGUUAAUUCAUAACUCCAAUACUCAUAAUUGCUCCCACUAAAAUACCGAGUAAUCUUGACCACAAUGAUGUGUCGUGCCCAUUGGUAACUCAAAUAGAAUAACAAUUACAAUCAUGAAAUCAUAAUUAACUCAAAAUUAAGAUUACAGUAAAAUCAACGCCUAUGAGAUUUAAUAAGUCUAACAGUUAUUACAAAGUUAAUUAAAUCUCAUAUGUGAUCCUGUUCAAUGUAGUCGUACUACAUCAAUAAAUUCAUACAUGAUUAAGAUAAAUUAUUCAAUGAAUUUAUUACAGUCUAUACCUAAAUAAAGUGUCCAACUUUAUUUAUCAACUGCAAACUAAAUUUAUUUAAUCAUAAAAUAACUUGUAUUUAUGUCUUCUGUGAAUCCACAUGGUGAUCACAUAAAUACAUAUAAUAUGAUUAAAUGGACUUUAAUACAAAUAUUAAUGCAAUUAAGAUAUUUGAAUAAAAUACCUCAUUUAUUUUAUUAAUCAGAAAAAUUGUUUAUUACAAUUAAAUAAACACAUAUGCUUUUAAAGAGCAUAUUUUCCCAACAGAUAAUACAUGAGUUACCAUUACACCAGACAAAUAAAAUAUAUAUAAAGCUUGAGCAUUAAAAGUAAUGUCAGCGUUUUAUUAAUCUCUCCAACCGUCUCCAUAUAUAUAUAUAUAUAUAUAGGAGCAGGCAAAGUAUAUUAACUAACUGCGGGAUAAGUCAGGGAGUUGUGAUACCUGAAAAAAGAAAAACAAAAAAUUGAUGUCAAUGAAGAUGAAGGUAAUUAUAUUUCAUUUUAACAAAGAUCAUGAUGAAAGAGGAACUGUGUGUGUAAAGGUGAUGUGUUUAUAAAUAUCGUAGUAGCUUACUCCCACAUUUGAAGUGACGAGAGACUCUCCUACCGCAGCCUUCAAUGAGGCGAAUGACACGGUUGACAUUAAUGAAAGCGGCCAGCUUGGGGGUGAUAGCAGGGCAGACACACUCAAUAUGGCUAACCCUAAUACGUUGGCAACAUGCAGGAGAUGGAGGCUGGCCAUAUACGAUUGGCUUGCAUGCGUUUACCCCCAGCCGCCUUUCUUCGCUGCACUGACUCGGGCUCAAUCCUCCCCCCCCCCCCCCCACUCACCCUUUUCACUCUGCCAUCCAUCAUCAUCAUCAACAACAACACACAUGCCACCCACAACAUAACAAAUGAAGACCAACAACUGUUCUUCUUCUUCAUUGAACCCAUGACUUUCUCUGUGUCUAUUUAUGAUCUAUCAGGCUGUGUUUUUAACUUUAAACAAACUUAUCACCCUUGUUAAUCCAAUCUAUAUAUUUAUAUAAAGUUGGAACUACAAGAGGUGACGUGACAUCACCAUUUCUCAUCUUUAUAUAUUCUCUAUUAUAUAAUAAAUAGAGAAAUUUUCUUUCAGAUUUGGUUUUUUAUCUUCUCAUAAUUAAUUUGACUGUUAUUACACAAUUAAUAUGUAACAGUUCAUCAAAAGACCCACUAUCCUCUCUAAUUGAAACUUUCUUAAUCAUAAAUUAUACAAGAGGUGAUGUUGCAUCACCAUUUCUUAUCUUUGUAUAUUCUCUAUUAUCUAAUAAUCAUAUCUAUAUAUCUAUAUCUAUCUAUAUAUAUAUAUUAAAGUUGGGACUUGAGGAGCUGAUGUGGCAUGAACAUUUCUUAUCUUUGUAUAUUCUCUAUUAUCUAAUAAAUAGAGAAUUUUUUUUUAAAAAAUUUGACUUUUCAUCUUCUCAUAAUUAAUUUGAUUGUUAUUACACAAUAACAAUUAUGUAAAUAUUUUAAUGAAGUAUAUUCUUUGUAAUGAACAUCUAAGGGGGAGUGUUAUGAAUUUAUUAAAAUAAAUGUAGAUGCUCAUAACAUAUAUCUCUUAGUUUCCCAACUAUCUCCCAUUAGCAACCUUUAGCUUCCCUAUAACUCCCAUUAUCUCACAAGGAAUUAUGAUCUAUAAUUUUUCAUUAAUUUCAUGGAGUAAUUAUGUAACUAUAAAAGGAGAGCUAAUCUUUUUAUUUUGUACACACACAAUUGAAAUGAAUAAAAUCACUCUAUAAUAUAUUCUCUCAUUUAUUCUUUAUCUUGCGUUGCUUCUUUAUUUGUAUUGUUGGCUAAUAACUUUUUUUAUUUUUUAUAAGGCUGCCUUAUAUUAAAAAAAAUUAAUUUAUAUUUUUUAUCAGUUUCAUCAAGUGUAAAGUAAGAAAAAAUAAUAAUACUAAAUUUUUUUUAAAAGUCGCGUGAAGUGCGGUUCUAUUUUCUAGUUAAUAAAAAAAAUGAAGAAUUGAAGCCUUAUUCCAAAAAAAGAAUCUAAAAAUUAAAAAAAGUAUAAAAAUUAUGGUCAGACUUGGAUAAAGCCCGAGUACAACCCUAGUUUGUAGGGUCGGCCUUUUUAAGGGUUGGGACCCUUUAUUUUACAAAACUUAGCCGGACCCAUCCCCUUGCCAAGCCUAAUUCCUCCACCACUGCACUUUGCACUCGAAUCGAAUGCAUGAAUGGUAUACUUUUUGGCUAUGUUCGAGACAUAUGAUGGGAUUCGACUAAUUAUUAGAAUUAAAUUAGAUUAAAUUAUAUAUUUGUGCUUAUUUGGUACAAUAUUAGAUUGGGUUAAAUUAAAUCAAAUUAAAAUUAAGUUUAAUGAUAUUUAAGUUGAUAUUUUAUAUAAAACUCAAUUAAUGAAUGAUGUGCUUCUUAUGAAUGAUUAUAUUAAUGGAUAUAAAAUACUACUAAAUAAUAAUUUGGAUGCUUAAUAUUCAUUUUAUUGUAAACUAAUUUUUACAUUUAAUAUUCAAUACUAGUUUAACUAAAUUGUUGAAUUAAAUUAAGUACGAUUUAAAAAAAAUAUUAUUGAAUAAAAUUUUGAUACUGGAUAUAAUAUAAAAUUCUAGGUGAAUAAAUUAUGAAAUUAAUUUUUAUAUUUAAUUUAAGUUAAAUAUUAGUUCAAAUGAAAAAGAAAAGAGUGAUAAAGAGGACAAAAUAUUUCAUUCAAUCUUGUCAAUCUAAUCCUAGUUAGGGCUAGUUUGAGAUUAUGGUGGAAAUUCAAUAAGUUGUUUAUUGCAUAAUUUUUGAUAAAAACAGUGUUUGAUAAAUUUUGUAAAAUCAUAUUAUUUCAUAAUUUUAUUCAUUUUUUCAGCAGCUUUUAAAAGCAGGUAAGGGGUUACUUUUCAUAAGCAGCUUAUUUAAUAAAGUACCACACCUUAUUAAAAUUUUUAUUAUAACCUUAUAUUUUAUUAAAAGAUAAUUGUAUCUUAUAUAUCUAUAAACCCUAAUAUAUAAAUCAUCAGAUCUCAUAUUACCGCCAUAAUCACAUACGUUCUCUCUAAUUUUGAUCCAAUAAGUUCAUAUUCUAAUUUCAUAACUAUAGUUUUUAAAAUUUAAAAUUUAAUAUAUAUAUAUAUAUAUAUAUAUUAAUUGUUCCAAAUCCGUUGCCAAUCUAUUUUUUUUUAAAAAAUCCAUCGUAUUCUUUUUGUUUGUGCAAAAUUUGGAACAUGGAAGCCUGCCUGAGUCUCUUGUUAGGAAACUGAGUAUUCUUUUUUUUUUUUAAUUCGCAUUUUUUUUUCGUCAAUAUCAUAAUCUUCAAGAAAAAUCCGUUGUGCAAUUCAGAAGAGGAAAAAAGAGAGGAAGAAAACAAAGAAAAGAACGAGUGCAUUAAUUCACCGUUCCCCAAUUAAUGCUUGCAAAAUAAAUCAAGUGCAUUCAAAGAAUGGGUGAAUUAAUUCAGUGGUCCCCUUGCCCCCUCUUUUUUUCUUCAUUUUACUGUUCUUUUUCUUGCAAAUAUUAAAAGAAUGGGUUAAUUAAUUCAGUGGUCCCCCCACCCUCUCUUUUUCUUUGUUUUACUGUUGUUCUUUUUCUUGCAAAUAUUACAAUGCUGGAAAAAAGUUGAACGAAACAUUAAUUCAUUGGUAUUAAUUCAACGGUUUAUAUCUGUUCUCAUAAUUUAAUCAAUUGUCACAAUUUAAGUUCGUAUUUUAUACAUAUUUCUAGACCCGUUUAUCAUAUAAUCAUAAAAUGUCUAACUUAAAUGUUUGGGUGAUUAAAAGAGCACCAGCCGCAUGUGAUUCAUCUGGUUGAGGUAGAAUCUCCUCUGCUCUAUUUUGAUGAGCAGAUACAAUGGCACCAGAGCCCUCUUCGGUGUAAGCCAUAGGUCGACCAGAGAGUUGUACUUAAAAAUAAGGCUUGAUGCCACAUCAAGGCAGUAGCUUCACCACGUCCAAACCGUUUGAGGGAGGCACGAUAACCAAUGCACGAUUUUCGCAGUCUAUUUGAUCCAUGAUGGCCCGAAUAUAGAGGACGUGGGGGGAUGUUCAAGACACAAAGGGUUGCUGACUAUAAAACCCUAAAAAACGACAGGAAAAAGGAAAAGAAAGGAAAAAACAAGGCAAAACUCUGCCAUUUUGGAUUCAGAACUCACUUUCAUGAAACCUUUAAAAGACUUUUCCUUCAUUUAACAAUUGUUAGCUUGCAUAGAUCUAUAGUCCAACGUUUUUCCUGAGACCCUACAUACUGACAUAAGUAUCAGAGGGUUUUCGCCGAAAAAAUUACCGACGCCUCUUAUCCAUUUCUGUGAGUUCAGGUCAAAAGAGAAGGAACGAGGUUGGUUGUGGUCGCAUAAUUCGCUCGUCAAGGGAAGGAACGAGUAUCGUAGCGCUUAGCCAAAGUUAACUCGAGUGUUGACGAGACAACCUGGUCAGCCCUAAAAUACGAUCAGAUUUUUGCAUCAACAUUUUUGGCCCCAUCUGUGGGGAGUUGAACAAAAAGCUACUACAAACAGAGCAACUCGCAGAGAGAAGUGAACGCGUGUACAAGGAUAUAUGGAGGAAUAAUGCCCAAGGAGGUGAGCACGAGACUAAUGAGACGAUCACUAUGAGAGAAAUAACAAAUAAGGCAAGGGAGAGAGUGAUGCAUGAACGAAUGAAGCGGAUGGAGACUUUUACCGCCAUAUUGCAUGAGCUGAGGAAUGAGCAGAUAAGGGUUUACAAGACCAAUGUGACAAGAGAUGAUGUUGCUAGGAGCACAGUCACCGAAGGAAUAGAAAUGAGGAGAUUCCUUCAAUAGGGGGCAUCUCGACGGGGUACAUAACAAUGGAGUUGGGAACCCGACUUCGAGAGAACGUGGGCACGAAGGGAGAGACCAAUGUUGGUAUAAAUUCAAAUGCUAUGGGUGCCAAUGUGCAAGUGUACACAACAAAUAAUAUAAUGAUAAGUAUUUAAGAUCGUCUCCACAAAGAUUGAUGUUAUGGAAAUUGCUAUAGCAACCCUAAUAAUUUUGCUCGAAUUGAAAAUAAAUUGAACAAUUAAACUAAUAAACUACCUAAUAAAAUGCAAUAAGUAAAUAUGCAGAAAAUCAAACUCUCACGUCAAACACAAGGAUAAAAUUAAUGAGAAUGAAGUAGUUGAGUGAUUAACUCUCUUAACAGACUUGACUAUUUCUUGCAAUUUUCGUUUAAGUUACUGCAGUAUCCUCAUGUAUCAUCAGUUGUCGCAUGUUGGAUGUCUUAUAUCUAUAUACAACCUAAUAAUGACCAAUUGUUAUGCCAACAUAAUAUAUAACAUUACACGUUCAGGUUUUAUUUACCCUAUAAGGUAAAUCUCUACAUCUAGUUCAUCAUUAAUUUUAGAUUAAGCAUGACCCUUUUGGACUCAAGUUACACUCAACCUAGGAAACACAAUCUAAAAUCAAGUAUUGUUAUGAUGUGUUCUACUAAGAUAGGCCCUUUUUGUGGCUCUUUUCUAGCUUGUAUCAUUAAAUGGUAGUUAGCCGAAAUAAUGACUUCAAAUAAAUACUAUCACAACAAAAUGCUAUAGCAAACAUGCAGCAACAUAUAAAUUCUGUCAAGAAGCCAUUAAAAUUGUUUAUCAUUGAACCACAAAUAAUAUUAGUUCAUGGUUUGCAAAAGAAACCUAAACAACAAAGAUUCAGCCAGCAAAUACAUUCUCAUACCAAAAAAGAAUAAAAAAGAUUGAAUUCCAAUUGAUUCCCGCAAAUUAUCCACCGGUGCAGCCUUGAUUAUUGUUCUUGAAAUAUGUUUUUCCUUUGUUUUCUUUUUGAUUUGUGAUCUUGGUUGACAGCCUACUUUUCUUUUGCAUGUGUGCCUAUUUUAUAGCUCAAAAUUAGGGUAAACGGAGGUCCAAAGAGUGUAUUUUCCCAAUUAGGAAACUAUAUGUCACAAUCUGUUAAUUGCUUUACACGAGAUUUUCUCUGUCGUUGUUUUAUAAUUGUUACAGCAUUGGUUAUUACAUCAAUGGCUACAACAUCUGCACUGUUCCAGAUUUACUCCAAUUCUUCUAUAGCCAUAUUCUUUUGUCCUUUUUGUAAGCCCAUUGCUACAAUAUCCUUCCCAUGAAAUUUAAACUCCUGGUCAUCUACAAUUAUUCAUAUGUUUUAAGCACACAAUUAUUCGAAAUCAAGCACACUUUAUUUAACUUUAACUAAAAUGAAUGUUAAUGUAAACUAUUAUUAAAAUGCACUAAAACACAUCAAUUACUCUCUAAGUAAUAUUGAUUUAAGCUCAAAAGUAUCAUGAUAACUCUCAUUUCAUAGAAUUAUCACACCCCCAAACUUAAACCAUUACUUGUCCUCAAGUAAUGACAACAACACUCACAUUUCAAUCAUACAAUAAUGCAACAAAUAACUUAGCUCUAUCAUCAAAUUUCGCAAGGAUUCUUCAACCCUCAUAUCACACCUUCAAUCAUGUAAAAUUGCCAUAGUAGUUCAGCUCUUGACUUAGGCAUUAUUCUAUCCAAAGUGUGUGUGUGUGUACUUUGAUCAAGUCUCAGAGAUGUUUGCAACAUCACUCAAGCAUCAGAUGCAUUUUACAAAUAUAAAACAAUAUAACCAAAUCCAUCUUGUGGGGGAGACAAAGGUCUUGCAAUAAAUUCACACUGUGCUACAACAAUCAUUCUUAGUUUUUUUUUUCAUUAAUGAAUCAAACCCUUCAAUGCAACAUUGAGGUUUCAUGCGAAUGCCUAUCACUUGUAAUGACGACACCCAAUUACUCACUCAAAGCACAUGUCAAAUUUGCCACAACAAACACAUCCAAGAUUCUAUAUCUAGGUCUUACCUUUGAACACCUUUAACUCAAGGUUGAACAUUGAGCUUAUGAAUAGACUUGGUUACUCAGUAUCCUAGGUAGUGGACCCCUUUGUUUUUCAUUCCUUCAUCAUAUUUUUUUUUCAAUAGUUGCUGCAGCACUGCUCAUAGCUCUCGUUGCAUUUUGAGUCAAGUCUGCAUAUGAGGUGCAUACUCAGCCCUAGUUAUUCAGUAACUUACCCCAUUGGAGUAGAAUUUAUUUCAUAAUAGGCAUAGUUCAACAAAACUUUUUCCCAAACUUGAGGUAUUUUCUACCCUUUUUGGUUUUCCUGGCCCUGCUACAGUAUACUCAUGAAACUCAACCAAAGUCUAAGUGUUGAGAUUGACUUUCAACCUCCAUCUUUAACUAUCCCUACUUGGCAUUCCUAAUUACUGAAUGACAUUCAAUUUAUCUUCAUUAGGUUUUCAAAUCCAUAUGCAAAUAAUAGAUAAUAGAGCUUCACAUAACACACAACACAAACACAUGGAUUUUAGAAACACAAUACAUAAUAACACACCCCCCAAACUUGAGAGGAUUUGUGUCUUCACAAGCACACAAAUUAAAACCAAAACAAACAUGCAUGCAUUAACAAGCAAAAAAUGCAACUUGAUCGAUAAAAAAUAAAUAAAUAAAAGGAAAGUUUCAUAAUUUGGAAAACAAAAUGAAUGUGAGCUGGCAGGGAAUACUCUGAUGCUGUUGAAUAUGUUGCUGCAGCUCUAGCUGAAAGGUUUACUGCUUUUCGGAAGAACUCCUCAAGCGGUCCUUGGGUGAGCCUUGUGGUGGGAUAGUUGGCUACAUUUUCUUCUUGCUCAGAGUUGGGCUGGUUGGUGGAUGUGGUAGUAAGCGUAGUAAAGGGCGACUAGAUGAUGUCUAGAAGCCGCUACACCACAGCCGCCAAGGAAACCUUACAAGUUACCUGAUUCGACAACCGAGGAGAUUCCAAGAAGAGUCGGCAAGAACCGGUCGAAACCUUAGAGGAUGUGGUAAUGAAACAUGAUGACCUGAGUAGAACUAUGAAAAUUAGAUCUAAUCUAAGCCGAAGCUUGAGGGAUGAGCGGAUAGAGUGUUUAAGGUCUCAUGUUGACAUGUUCACCUGGUCACACGAAGAUGAAAUACAAGUGUGCAACCCAAGAGGGGGGUGAAUUAGGAUUCUAAAAAUUAUUUGAUUCUAAAACAAAUUAUCAUGCAAAUCUAGAAUGAAUUUAAUGGAAUAACAAUUAAAUCAAUUACAAUAUAAAAAGAUAAGGAAAUAGAGAUUCAAACACAAAGAUUUUUACGUGGUUCGGCCAACAUCUCCUAUGUCCAUGCCUCCAGGCUUUCCGGGCUUGAGGAUUUCACUAAGUAAGCCUCCAAGGCUUCAAAUGCUUACACUUGACUUCCAAGGUGUCAAUGAACCUUUACAACAAGAGAUUAUCCUCAAUCGCUUAACCCAAUUGUAUCCCAACACUUACAAUCACUCAAAGUAAAAGAUUAAAAAUUAUUUUUCUCUCACACAAUAUUUAAGAUUACAAAUCAAUGCCCAAUGUGUGAAUAGAUAAAGCAAAAAUGUGUUUUAAAACUCUAUGAAGAUUGUAUUCUCGAAUAUAAGCUCAAUGGUCGUGUUGUGAUCAACGUUGUUUGAAUUUGAAUGAGCUUAUUUAUAGUUGGAGCUGAAAACUAGCUAUUAUUGACUUUCUACUCAUUGUCGGAUCGCCGUUAACUACAGUAACUGCUACAGUGAACUAUUUUUAUAAAAUUAUCGUUUGACCUCAAAACUUUAUAAAAUUAUACUAUGGCCCAAAACUUUAUAAAACUUAUCAAUUAGGUCAAUUUUCAAGAUUUUAAGCAAUGCUUGUUAUUUUAAAAAAUCUCAAAGCUUUUUCAAUUGAAACCAUUAACAUGAGAAUAACCAAAAACAUUUUCAUAUAAUAUAAAGCCUUUAUAAAGUCAGAAUGAUGAUUUAAAAACAAUGAAAACUAUUUUGAGCUUUUAAAAGAUUAAUCAAUCUUAAUCAAGUUUGUUAUCAUCAAAAUCAAUAAUAAAGAAAUAUUUAUGUUAACAGAAGAUAUACCGGGAAUUAAUCCAAAGAUCGCUUGUCAUAAGUUAGCAAUCAGGAAAUGGGCAAGGCCAGUGAAACAGAAAAAAAAGAGAUGCUUCAAUCAGGAAAGGUAUGAAGCCAUAAAUAUUGAGGUAGAGAAGUUACCACAAGUAUGAUUCAUAAGGAAAGCCAGAUAUCCGGAGUGGAUUUCUAAUGUAGUGCUAGUGAAGAUAGCAAAUGGAAAGUGGAGAAUGUGUAUGGACUUCAUGGACCUCAACAAGGUGUGUCCAAAGGAUAACUUCCUUUUCCCAAAGAUAGAGCAGCUAGUUGACUCAAUAGUCGGCCACACCUUGCUUAGCUUUAUAGAUGUAUUCUCCGGAUACAACCAAAUGCCUAUAGAUGAGUAGGACGAGGAGAGCAUUGCAUUUAUUACUAAUAUGAGUUUGUUUUGUUACAGGGAAAUGCCAUUUGAUCUUAAAAAUGCAGGGGCUAUACAUCAUAUAUUAGUGAAUAGGAUCUUUAAACCCAUGAUCAGGUGCACUAUAGAGGUGUACGUGGAUGAUAUGAUUACAAAGUCUAAAGAGCCGAUGGAACACAUACUGCAUUUAGAAGAAACCUUCGAAUUAUUGAGGAGAUAUAUGAUGAAACUUAACCCAAAGAUAUGUGCAUUCAGGGUAUGCUCAGAAAAGUUCAUGGGAUUUAUAGUGAGCCAUCGGGGAAUUGAAGCUAACCCAGAGAAUAUAAGCGCAAUAACAGAAAUGAAAUCUCAUUGGACAAUCAAAGAGGUGCAAAGCCUUACGGGAAAGCAAACAGCAUUGAAUCGAUUCAUAUCAAGGGCAACAGAUAAAUGUCACGCAUUCUUAUAGGUUAUGAGAAAGGGGAGAAAGAUGGAGUGGUCAGCAGAAUGCGAGGAAGCAUUUGGGCAGUUGAAAGAAUGCCUUACUAAAGCCCUAUUAUUGUCUACACUAUGAGAAGGUGGUUUGUUUUAUUUAUACUUAGCUGUUUCGAAAUGGGCUACCAGCUCAGUGUUGGUGAGAGAAGAAGAAAGAAUACAACAUCCUGUGUAUUAUACCAGCAAAGCCUUAGUAGAUGUAGAGACCAGAUACCUGACUAUGGAGAAAUGGGCAUUGGCUUUAGUAACAGCAACACGCAAGCUGAGGCCGUACUUCUAGGCACAUUCAGUGAUCGUAAUGACUGACCAGCCUCUUCAACAAGCACUCUUGAAGCCAGAGGCGUUUGGCUGCUUGCUUAAAUGAUCAGUAGAGCUGAGUGAGUUUGACAUAACCUAUCGACCUCGAGCAGCCAUCAAAGCACAAACCUUGGCUGACUUCGUGGCAGAAUGCACCAAGCCGGGUGAGAGAACUUGCGAAGGACAAUCAGUUAGAGAGGCAGAGCCGAUCGAGGUCUGGUUGAUUAUGGUUGACGGGUCAUGCAACGAGCAGGGGGCCGGAACAGGAAUAGUUAUACAUAGUUCAGAAGGGGUCGAAAUUUCUUAUACUGUAAAAUUUGAAUUUCAGGUGACCAACAACCAAGCGGAGUACGAAGCUUUCAUAACUGAGCUUAAGCUAGCGCAUGCCUUACGAGCUGAAAGAAUUGAGAUUUGAACAGAUUCUCAACUGGUCUGUAAUCAGCUUAAUGAACACUUCCAAGCAAGAGGCGAAAAGAUUGAGUUGUAUUUGAGGAGGGCUAAACAAAUGGUCGGAAUGUUCCAAGAGGUAAAGAUAAAGUAGAUAUCGAGAACAGAGAAUUACCGAGCAGAUAUGCUAGCUAGAAUGACUGCAACAGCAGAUCUAAAACUACCAAUGUCAAUCCCAAUGAAGGUCAAAACUUUGCCAAACAUCGAGUAAGAAGCAGAAAUAAUAAGAGUGAAUGCUCAAGAGUCCCGGAUGGAUCCAAUUAUUCAUAUAUCCAUGACGGAAGCUUACCGAUGGAUAUGAAGCGAGUGAGAAAACUAAAGUGUCGAACGACUAGGUAUACGCUGCUCGAUAAGAUACUCUACCGCUGAGGGUUUACCUUACCUCUUUUGCAGUGUUUGGAUGAUGAAGAGGCAAACUAUGUGCUACGAGAAAUACAUGAAGAAAUAUGUGGUAACCACUCCGGAGCAAGAACUUUGGCAUUCAAAGUGUUAAGACAAAGAUAUUUCUGGCCGACCAUGCACCAGAACGUAAUGGAAAUGACUAAAAGUUGCCAAAGUUUCUCAAAUGUCCCUACUCAACCUCCAGAGAAACUUACUGUUAUGUCCUCUCCAUGGCCUUUUGCACAAUAGGGGGUUGCUACACAUGCUACUGUGGCGAUAGAUUAUUUUACAAAGUGGGUAGAGGUUGAAGCUCUAAGCCAGAUCAUGGAAAAGAAAAACCAAGUUCAUCUGGAGGAAUAUUAUAUGCAGAUAUAAGAUCCUUUAUAUACUUAUAAUAGAUAAUGGAAGGCAAUUUGACAACCACAACUUCAGGGAAUUUUGCCAAAAUUUGGGUGUUGAGCUAAAAUUCUGCUCUUCGACUCAUCCCCAAUCAAAUUGGCAGAUAGAGACUGCUAAUAAGGUCAUAAAAAAGCUUUUGAAAACUAGAUUAGGGGAAAAGAAUGGAGCGUGGGUCGAUGAGUUACCUGGUGUGUUAUGGGCUUAUCGGACAACCCCCAAAACCGCAAUAGCAGAAACCUCAUUUGCCCUGGCCUUUGGCCAUGAAGCUGUGGUCCCAACAGAAAUUAGAGUAGGAACACACCAAACCGAGUACUUUGAUGGGAACAGAACGACGAGCAGAUGUGUCUGAAUCUUGACCUGUUAGAUGAGAAAAGAGAAAAGUCCCCGUUGAGGACGAUUGAAUAUCAGUAGAGGGUUGUGCACUACUAUAACCAGAACGUGCACGUGAGGCAAUUCCGAGCCAGGGACUGGAUACUUAGGAAAGUGAAUUAGAGCACGAGAGAUCCCAGCCAAGGCGUCUUUGGCUCUAACUGGGAAGGCUAGUACAGGGUAAUGCGUUUCACUGGUCCAGGAGCUUACAAAUUGGCAUUCCCAAAUGGUCGAAAAGUAAAGAAAUCAUGGAACACGGAGCACUUAAGGAAAUAUUUCCAAUAAGCAAGCCAUUUCAUAUAAUAUUUUAGUUAAGUUGUUUAUGUUUAAUGUAGUAAGAGUUACCACAUGCAUAUGUUUUCCACUUUUUUGUAACUAUUUAAGCAUUCAGUAAUGAUAAGGUGAUGAAUUUCAUUUAGACAUGUCUUACCAAAUUAUUUCUAAGGUAAAUAAAGGGUCAAAUGUCUCAAAGCCUGGUCGAGGCGAGGCGAGUCAAAUGUUUUCCAUAACCUGCUCUGUCAAGCGAGGACGAGUAGGCAAAACUCGCAAAAAUUAUUUCUAAGGAAAAUAAAGGCUAAAUAAGCUCAAAGCCUAUCGAGACGAUACAAGUUAAAAGUUUGCCUUGACCUGCUCUGCUAGGCAAGAAUGAGCAGGCAAAGUUUACCAAAAUUAUUCUAGGGGAAAUGAGGGCUCAAAAGACUCACAACCUUCUCGAGGCGGAGCAGGCAAAAAAUUUGUAAAAAAUCUACUCUAUCAAACGAAGAUGAGCGGACAAAGCCCAUGAAAUAAUCACUAGGGCCAACAAUAAGUUUUGGAAUAUCGGAGUUGGUGAAGAAGUUAAACAUUCAAAAGACAAAACAACAAUUCAUACAAGUCUUCUUGAGCAAAGUAUUAAAAUGAAAGGUAGAAAACAGAAUUUAUAAAUGUUUCAAAAUAUGUGAACAAAUGAAAGUUUGCAGUUCAAACAUGAAAUAAAAUUCAUGGAUUUUGGGAGGAAGGCUCAACUACUUAUGCAGGGGAGGAAUCAAUAGUCAUAGCCGAGGAGGGAUCAGUGAUCCCAACAAGGGCAAGGGCUGCCUCCACAACUGCAUCUGGCGUUUUGUCCCUUGUUCCUUUUUCCUGCUCUUAGCACCCGGAGGAGUCCCAUCUUGGCCUUUGUUUGGUUGAUUUUGCUAAGCCAUACACUUGCUUCAAGCUUAUCUAUCUUCAGCUUUGGAUAUUCCUUCUUAAGGACAGACAUAAUGUAGUUAUAGCUAAAAGCAAGCUCAUAGUCGUACUCUUUAUCCAUCCGGUCCUCCAUGUUAUUGACCUUAUCUUUCAACUUAGUUAUUAGCAAUUUCAAAGAUUUAAUUUGCUCUUCAUACGCUGAUUUCUGAGUAUCUCACUCACUUCGUGCAAUGUCAAGAUCAGAUUCCAUCUCUACAAGCUCAUGAUCGAGUUGAAUGGACUUGGACUCAGUGAGAGCAAUUUUCUCCUCAAGGUCUAGAAUCUGCUUAUGCAGUUCAAGCAACCGCUCCUUUGAACGAUCAGUUGCCUCAGCUUUUUUUCUUCAAGUCUUGAAUAUCUGCUUGUCGUCUCUUCUUAUGGCGAGAAGCCUUGAACUUAUAAUAAGAGGCUGUUGUAGCGGGCUAAAAGGCAAUUUUUUUUAUGGAGCCUCCCAUCUCGGUAAGGGUCAUACCCUCGAGCUCUUUUACAAACUUGAACCCCAUCACCCUGGCAUAUUCCCUUUGGUAUAUGGCCAAGUAAUUGUUUUGGUCUCGGGAUGGAGGUGACGAAGUUCGGUUGGUAGAAGGGGUAGCACUCUUGGGGUAUUCUCGCGAGAUUUUUCACCACCACCCUUUUAGGCCGGAGAGGGCGGCAGAGCUGGUGGAGGAGUGCUGGUCGGGGUGACGUUGCUAUUUUCUGUGGGGUAAGGGCAGAGUCACCUGAACCACGAGCAUGUUUCCUUGCCAUGGCACCAAGGAUCUUGUUAUCCAUCCCCGUAGCUAUAUCGAUUAUGUGGGACUCGACGAGACUUGUUGACGUCAAAAGGCCUUUGCACAUACAAGCGUUGACUAAGGCAGUCUGAACUUUGAGUAACAAUUCCUCCUUGAUGUUGUAAAUCAUGCUCCAAGAAUAUAAAAAACACAGUAAAUAGUAAGAAGGAAGGCAUGAGGCGUGAAAAAUAAUAAAUGGCCUGGGGUGCAAAAACACGUGGGGACAUGAAUACUACCACCACCCGAUUGAAUCACCUGACCCUAGUUUCCCCCAGCAAAGAAGAAUUUGCUCUUUCAUUUUUUACAUGAGGUAGGAAAGUCUGUGAUGAGUUUUCUCUUUGUAGAGCUCAACAUGAAAUAGUACCAGCCCACAUCUUUUGGGUUGUUUCUUAGUUGAUGUAAAUUCUUUAUUUCAUCAGUGGUAGGCUUUCAAGGUUCACACCUAACCCACAGCACAAACAAGCCUGAAAGUACCCUUCAUCUGUUUGGGUUUAAUUGACCAGGAGCCAAAUGUAGGUCACUCAACAACUUCGUAAAAUAAAGUUGGAGGGGCAAUUUAACUCAUAAUUUGAAACACUUCAAGUAUAAGGUCACGUAGCCUUGAGGAAGUUGACUAAGGACAUCACUUUUUUUCGAGAAUAACGAGAUGGAUGUUGUUGGGAAUACGAUAGAGGUUAUUCAAUUUGUAUAGAUCAUUUUGUGUGGUGCUGCACCUUAUAAAAUCCAUGGGAUAAGAAUUAGCUUCUAUCAUGUGGCCAAGAUUAUUUUUUUUAGCUGGUUGGAUCGGCUCGGUGCCACCUUCUACAUUAUCACUCUCUUCGUCAUGACUUUCUACCCCACUCGAGCUAGGACGUUCGUCGAAGCUUGACGUUUGUCCACUUUUAUCCCCACUAGGUUCGUGACCAGAAGGUGGUGGAGUAACCUCUAACGAUGGUUGCCUAAGAGUGCUCUUAGUAUUAGAGGGGUCUACAUCACUCGGGGAAAUCUGGGGGUCGAGGAGAGUCUCUCUUAGCAUAUAGAGGUAUAAAUCUAUUUCUUCAUCACUCUCAAUAUCGAUAAUUUUUCCUUUUAAUUUUAACAUGGAGAAAACUAAAAACAAAUCCAAAGACUCGAACAAGAAAGCACAAUACAAGACAAAACAAUAACAACCAGAAGUUAGUUCAGAGGGCGAUACCUGGGAUGGUUUAGGGUUAAUAGAGUCAUUGUCGCAGUGAAAACGGCAGCAGAAAGAGAGUCUCCGGCGUAAAGAGGGCGCUUGAUUUCAAGUUAAAAAUCUUAGUAGAAAACGGAAGAACAAGUUUAAUGAAGUCCUCGAUUUAGGGAUUUUAUGAAGGAAAGAGAAAAGAAGCGUUUAAGUAACGCAUGUGUCAGUUUAAUCGAGAGCAAAGAAAUCACCAUUUCAAAUUUUAAAUACAUGGUGUAGGAAGUGCCACGUCGCAAGCAUUUAAAAUUAUAUGACAAGAAGUCAGAUCGGUAGUGUACUUGAGAACAUAGGUGUCUGCUCUAUACACAUUGCUCUUGCAGCUACAUACCACCUGGGCAGCCAAAUAAUUUAAGAACGCCACCUCGACUUUGCCAGAUCAGGAUUAGAGCUAGAUAACUUAACCUGCAUUAUUACCAUAAUUGUCUCCUAGUUUAUAGUCUUAGCUCGCUUCACUCACAAUACUAAAAAAUAGGGGGACUGAUGUUUAGGUGAUUAAAAGAGCACCAGUCGUACAUGAUUCAUUUGGUUGGGUGGAAUCUCCUCUGCUAUGUUUUGAUGAGCAGAUACAAUGGCACCAGAGCCCUCUUCGGUGUAAGCUAUAGGUCAACAAGACAAAUGUACUUAAAAAUCGAGCACCAUGCCAUAUUAAGGCGGCAGCUUCGCCACGUCCAAACCAUUCGAGGGAGGCACGAUAACCCAUGCACAAUUUUCCCAAUCCAUUUGAUCUAUGAUGGCCCGAAUAUAGAGGACGUGAGGGGAUGUUCAAGACACAAAGGGUCGUUGCCUAUAAAACCCCGAAAAAAGACAGGAAAGGGAAAAAGAAAGGAAAAAAACAAGGGGAAACUCUGCUAUUUUGGAUUCAGAACUCAUUUUCAUAAAGCCUUUAAAAAACUUUUCCUUCAUUUAACAAUUGUUAGCUUGGAUAGAUCUAUAGUCCAACAUUUUUCCCGAAAUCCUACAUACUGACUUAAGCAUCGGAGGGUUUUCGCCGAAAAAACCACCGGCACUUCUGAUUAAUUUCUAUGAGUGAAGGUCAGAAGAGAAGGAACGAGGUUGGUGUGGUCACAGAAUCCGCUCGUCAGGGGAAGGAACGAGCAACAUAACGCCCCAACCAGAGCUAACUUGAGCAUUGAAGAGACAACCUGGUCAGCCCUACAACAUGACUAGAUUUCUACAUCAACAAAUAUAUAGUUAUAUUUCACUAUAGCCAUGUUUGUGUGAAUGUGGCUUUUGAUUGUGAUAUGCUGAUUAAUGAUAAAAUUGCUUGAUUUCUUGAGUGUUUGAUAUCUAUUAUUGCUUGUUUGCCAUGACUGUAAUGAUUGAGUUGGAUUUUACAUUUUAUUAUUAUAGAUGAAGAACAAUAAUAUUGCCAACUCUACUGAAACUUCCAGUAAUGCACAACUUAUUAAGGCACAAUGGGAUGCAAAUACUCUAGUUAUAUUUUGUGAUUUGUGUAUUUCGGAAUUAGAGGUAGGAGGUCGCCUUGGAACUCAUUUUACUAGUGUUGGAAAUUAUGGAAAGAUUUUAUGGGGAAAGAAACUGGUCUAGGAUGGAAUCCCAUAUUAAAGACUAUUGAUGCUUCUGAAGAGUGGUGGCAAAAGAAAAUAAAGGUAUGAAUGCUGAUUAUUUUGCCACAAUAUUUUUUUGCUAUAUACAAAAUUAGUGUUUAACUUCAUACAAUGUACAUAUACAGAUGUAUCCCAAGGCAAGCAAGUUUCGUAAAGGAGGCAUUGAUAAAUAAUUAGAAGGGAAGUUGGACAGGAUGUUCAUGAACACUGCCGCCAUCGGAGAGCAUGCUUGGCCACCUUCAGCUGACAUCCUUCCAUAUGAAAAUAAUGAAGAGUUAGACAAAAAUGUCAUUCCAUUAGAAAGUAAUGGUGAUUCAUAUGAGUUCACUGAUCAAUUGGAAUUCGACAAAGGUAUUGAAAAUUUUGAGAAAUUGGUGGAUAAAAGAAAUGUUGAAAUACGUAAGAUAACAAAUAAAAGGGUGAAGAAAGUUAAAAAGGUUGGAUUAGGAGGGGCAAAGGUAGGAGGCGAUACGAAAUUAUCACAACAUAUUGACUACCUUAUAAAUGUUGUUGAGGAUAAAAAAAAAAUGAUAUCGUCAGCUAUAGUACUCUUGAAGUGAUGCAAAUGGUUGAAUCUUUACCUGGAGUGGAAGUUGGAAGCGACUUAUGGUUAUUUACCACUCUACUCUUUUUAUCUAAAGAGAAGAGAGAGAUGUUUUCUGUCACGAAAGACCCAGAGACGAUGCUUAAAUGGCUUCAUUUUGAGAAAUCACCGACUUAUAAUCUUUGAAACAUGUUAUUGUAGUAAUCUUAUUAAAUGAUGCUAGAUUUUCCUUUAGGCUUUUAGAUUUUAGUUUCUUUUAGGAAUAAGGUGCUUUAUGAACAAUUAAUUUUAUGAUACUGUUUUCAUACUACUUUUCAUCAGACAUUAGUUAUCAUAAUAAUUAUGAAUGGUUUUUGUAAUUGUUUAUAACAUCAUUUUAUCUUUACUUUUUUUAAAAAAAAAUUUGUUGCAUGUUUAGUGAUACUUUUUAAAUAAUUGUUUAUAGGUUUAUUUUAGAAAUUGAUACAUCUGAUGAUGAGGAGUUCGACCAAAUUGUAUGCGUAUCUGCACUUCUUAUAGAAGACUAUUAUCUCAAAUACAUUUAUGAACAACCAUGUAUGAAAUCUAUACAAACUGGAAAUAUGUGGUUGAAGGAAGUAUUAGAAGGAAAUGAUAAUCGAUGCUAUAGGAUGUUUAAAAUGGAAAAGGCUGUAUUUUUUAAAAUUAUUUGCUGAUCUGGAAACAAAUUAUGGGCUACAAGGUUCAAGAAGAAUGGGCGCUGCUGAGAGUUUAGGAAUGUUUUUGCACACUUUGGGACAUGGGGUUGGAAACAGGUUAGCACAAGAACGAUUUCAACACUCAGGUGAAACUAUUAGUAGAUAUUUUAGCCAAGCAUUAGAUGUUGUAUGUGAAACUAUUAGUAGAUAUUUUAGCCAAGCAUUAGAUGUUGUAUGUAUAACGGUAAUUGAUAUAAUAAAGGCAGAAGAUCCUGAGUUUAAGGAAGUUCCUAAAGAAAUACUGAGAGAUUCAAGAUACAUGCCCCACUUUGAGGUAAUUAAAAAAUGUAUUUAAUUUUUGUUUUACAAAGUUACAUAUUAGCAAUGAAUAUGUUUUCACGCUAUUAUCAAGAUUGUACUGGUUCUAUAGAUGGUGUGCAUGUUCUUGCCACAAUAUCCCUAGAAGAUCAAGUACCAUAUAUUGGUAGAAAAGGAAUACCGACUCAAAAAAUAAUGGUUGCAUGUAGUUUGAUAUGCAAUUUAUUUUUGCACUUGCAGGUCGGGAAGGUAGUGAACAUGAUGUAAGGAUUUUUCUAACAACCCCUACAAUGAAUUUUCCAAAGCCUCCCAAAGGUGUUUUGCUUUUUUUUUUUUUUUUCUUUCUUAAAUAUUUAAUAUUUUCUUUACAAAGUAUUUAAGUUGAAUUAAAAUUUAAUGUUUUAAAAUAUUAUUAUACAAAUUCACAUGUUUUUUAUUCAACAGGAAAAUAUUACUUAGUGGAUGUGGGGUACUCCCAAAUUAGUGGUUUUUUAGGUCCAUAUAAAGGUGAAAGAUACCACCUUCCAGAGUUUCGUCAAGGUACUAAACCCAUAGGUUAUCAAGAAAUAUUUAAUCAUGCUCACUUAUCGCUUAGAAGCAUUAUUGAACGCGCAUUUGGAGUAUGGAAGAAAAGAUGGAAGAUUUUAAGAGAUAUGCCCAGCUAUUCAUUUUCCAAACAAGUGAAAAUAGUCAUUGCAACCAUGGCAUUGCACAAUUAUAUAAGGAGACAUGCGCAACGUGAUCUUCAUUUUGACAACAUUGAAAAUUAUCCUACUUCAAUCUUUGAUGAACGAAUAAAAAGAGGCAAAUAACACUUAAGAAGAGUAUCAUAAUACUAAUGGCUCUGGAUCCCAAGAAAUGAAAAAUUUGAGAAACUUUAUUGCAAAAAAUUUAUUGUAAAUGUAAUACAUAUUGCUUUUUGUUUUAUUUGGAUUAUGUAUAAGUAUGAAUUUUUAUCAUAUUUUAUGUAACAGAUUAUGAAGUUCUUUAGAUUUUUUUAAUUGAGUUUUUUUUAAUGUAAUUUUACAUGUUUAUGAAAAAAAAAGAUAUGUCUAAACAAUUUAUUAAACAUACUCUAAAAAUAAUAAGUAAUUAAAAUGUCUAUUUUAAUCAUUAUAUAAUAAAACUGCACGUUUGUAAUAAAAUUUACUAAACGCAUGUAUUUUACUUUUCAAACUCACAACAACCGCAACAACACAGUUUACUAAACACCAAGCUACUUUUUUAAUCAGCAGUUGAUUUUAUCUGCACAGCACAAGCAGGUUAUUUCAUCAUUCUUCGCAAUCUCAAACUAACCCUUAAAUCCACAUGAAAAUAAGGACUAAUAAUCCCAAUAGAUUUGGACUUAUUUACUAAUUCUAAUAGCCAAACAUGACAUAGGAUAAGAUUAAUUUUUUAGUCCCAAAAUUAAAUCCAACCCCGCAACUUAUCCAUGUUUUUGGGAGAACUUUUUUUUUUUAAUAAGCUCUGAAGAUGUUAUUUUUUCCCCCCUUUUAUUGCUCUUUGCCACGUGGUGUAUUAGCAUGACACACGAGUUCACUCAAAAAUCAAAGAAUCAGAGCCAAUUAGAAUGAAAAAAAGGAGCAAAAAUAAGAAAUUGAGGUUGAGAGAAAUAAAGGAAAAUAACUAAAAAAGAAAAAGAAAAAUUAAAAUGGAUAAGGAAGAAAAGCCGAGGAGAGGGAGAAUUAAAAAAAUAAAAAUAAAAAAUGGUGGGUUUUUAACUUUUUCAUGCUAAAAAAUGAAUACUCUUAACAUCUUUAUUUAACUUAAAACAAAAUAAGUUAUUGAACACCCUUUUUUAAUUAAAAAGAAAAAGUAAUUACGGAUAAUUUAUAUUGAGAAAAUAUUUGGGGUUAACUUUAGUUUACCCCAAUAAUUGUUUUUCUUAUUGUUAGAUUUCAUUGAUAUGGGUAUAGAUUAAUUAUAAGAAAAGGAAAUGUGCACAAGAGAAUGAUAUCAUAUUGGUUGCUAUAAGGUCCACUGGGUUACACAUAAGAUAUUCGAAUCUGAUUAAUAUAGAAUAGUAGAAUUGAAAUGUAGUUGUUAUGACCACGCCUUUUCCCUUCCGGCAAGAAAUUUCGGUGCCGAAUCCUUUAAAUUUGGUUCGAGUAUCAGUGUCAUUGACUGCUCAGUGGCCUUGUAGCAGUCUGCAUUUGUCACUAAAAUACUUAACGUAAGCCCUACGGAAGGAAAAUGGACUCAGUUGCCUGCUUCAUGCAAAUAAUUGUUGACAUGUUUGCUUGUUUGAUUAGGUGAAAAAGAUAAAUUUGUAUCAUUUUAGCAAAGCACUACUCAAGAAUCGAGAGACUGGAAGAAACAAAGGCCGAUGAUAGAGAGAGACCCAAAAAAAAAAAAAAAAAAUAGAGAACAAAAAUGUAUUGGAUAUCUAAAAUGAAAUACUAUAACUUAGAGGGUAACAAAAUUUUCUGAAGUUUGAGAAUUUAUGUUUUAAUUAGAUAUGUGUUAAUUUUUGUAUCACUCAUAGCCUAUAAUUUUUGAACCCCUUAAGAGAUGUUUCCAAAACAAAGAAUCCAUGUGAGUCAAAAUUGAACCGCAGUUAAUUUUGGAUAUAUGAGUUGGAUUGCUUUAAAUUUGCACAGGAAAGAUAUAAUAUAUUAUUCUAAAUACAUUGAUUAACUUAUUUAUUUACCUGAUGAUGGUUGAAAAUAAUCAAAAUGACGUAAGUAGUACAUUAAUAUUUAUUUUAUACGGAUCUUAUUUUUCCUUACCUUACUAUCAUCCUUAAACUUAAUGCCAUCGGCCACAACACCAAAGUCCUUGACGUUGAAAACUCUGUUGGUUGCAUCGAUACCUUUUACCGAAGUAAUAAACAAAACUAGUAUUGAAAAUGCUUGCUGGGAGUAGGAGCUGAAACCCAUUUUAUGACUGAUUGAAGUGAAAGUGAUUGUAUAUUCUGAUAAAUUUGAGCAGACUUUUUUAUUUUUUUUAAUGGUAGAUCGAUCAUUGUAGAGAAAUUUAUAAGGCAGUGCGAAUGCAGUUCCUUCACUAAUUUGGNNNNNNNNNNNNNNNNNNNNNNNNNNNNNNNNNNNNNNNNNNNNNNNNNNNNNNNNNNNNNNNNNNNNNNNNNNNNNNNNNNNNNNNNNNNNNNNNNNNNAAUUAUAAGAAUUCUGCCGAAAAUUCAGUAGAGUUUCCUUUAUAAAUAUAACAUUCUCAAUCUGCAAAUAUGAAUAUAACAUUGCCCAAAAAAAUUCAAUAUACAACCAAGUUCAAUGAUCAACAUCCUCAACAAAAAUAUUAAAUUUUACUCAAAAUAUCUCCAAAGUAUCAAAAGAUUAUAUUAUAACUAAUAUUAAUAUACAUCAGUUUAUUCUUAAUCCCAAAAGAAUAAUAUAACAAAUUUGUACAAUCUCAAAAGAGUGAGAUGAUCAAGAUGUCCUAACAAAAAUCAUCUAUAUCUUUUAACAUAAUCACGUGUGGCCAAGACUCAAAAUAUAUUUACACUCGUUGGGUGGGUUUGGUGUACCUGCAAUCUUCUGGUGGGGAGAAAUAUAAUAAAAACGGGAUGAGUAUAAAACUCAGUGAGCUUAGUGAGUGGAUAGUAAUUUUUGAAAAUAAACCCGUACUUUAAAAGAAAUAAUCAUAUCAUUUCCAAACACAAUUUCAUCAAACCAUAUGCGAAAAACCAAUAAUAAAUCAUUUAACAUUUAAAUCAUAUUACUAACCUUGAAAAACAUAUAUAAUAUCAUAUCUAAUAACCAUGGAAAUCAUAUCACAAUAUCAUAUAGAAUAUACAAAUCUAAAAAUCAUCACCAAACAAGUACCUAAGGGAAUAAUCUUGUCGUAUCUAGACCUCAACGGACGGGCAAUGAUGUACUAUCUAGGUACCGUCACGCCUCGGAGCUACACGAAUAAACAUGUAAAUACCAUCUCAUAUCUCAUCAUAUCUGUGCAUGCAUAAUCUAGUCCCCAAAUGACAAAAGCGCCAAGCACACGGCCUAAAACCUCUGUGUGUAUUCAGACAGGCCCCAAAGGCCUAUAUCUCAUCUGUAUGUCAGUAUCUAUCUGUAUCUCAAUAUCUGUUUGUAUCUCAAUAUCUAUAUCUCUGUAAUCAUCAUACUGCAUGCAUAAGCCCCCCAAAAAGCAAAAGCGCCCAAACACACCGCCCAAAAUCUCUAUGUGUGUUCAGAUGGGCCCCAAAGGCCUCUCAUCUCAUUUGUAUCACAGUAUCUGGAGGGAAGGCUAUUGUCCAAUGAUUUUAAAAACAAUCUCUAUACUCAUAUUCAUAUACAUUCUAAUCAAUACUUUAAAUCAUACCUUUCUUUUCAUUAUCACAUUUAAAUCCACUUUUCUCAUCUUUAAGAUACUAUCAUAUUUUAUUCAAGUUGAUACGGAAAAUCAUUAACCAAAUAUUUUAAUAUAAUAUCAAUGUGUGAAUAAAAUUCAUUUCGAGAAAAUUAUUAAAUCAAAACAUUUAAAAUACUUAUUUCGCAAAUAUGCUUUACUAUCAUAAUUAACUAUGAAAAUAAAUUUUGUAUAUUCCACUCACAGUGACGAUGUUUACACUCAGUUAUCGUCCACGUCUGCGAAUUGGUUCUCGCUCGGGAAUCCUCCCAAAUCAAAGAAACAAUAUAAUUAUUUUUCGUAAAUCAGAAUUAUGACUAAAUUUAUGCAAUAAAAACGAAACGAACAUCUAUCCAUAAUUUACAACUCCCGUGUCGAUAAAAUUACUAAAAUACCCUCGAGUCUGUAAUCAUUAAAAUAUUCUAAAAUCGUAAAUCACCAAAUUACCCUCGGAAUCGUAAUGACACCCAAUCUUCAAUUUCAGAAAUUACUAAAAUAUCCACAGGUUCAAAAAUUACAAAAUUGCCCUCAAAAUGUGAAAUUACCGGAUUGCCCUCGCGGAUCAACGUUCGUUGCCCAAGAAGCACAUGUUAGACACUUUUGGCCACGCUGAGUUCAGUGGUACCUGCAGUGAACUCUAACGCGCGGUGACGGCAUCAGAACUUAGCUCAACAACCACGAAACUCUAACAAUUGGCUGGCGGCGAAACAAUGACUCCCGGUGGUUGUGGAUGGUCGGGAAUUAAAGAAGGAGUCAUGGGGAACAAAACUGAGGUGGUGGCGUGGUCAAAUUCCGGUAGAAUCAACGGCGGUGGUGAUGAGUUUUGGCUGCGAUUUCUCAAACUUGAAACGGCGGCGAUGAGCGGAAAUGACGGCUGGGGUGUGAUCAGUGUCUCACGGGCUUCCGAUUGAUACCUUGCUAGACCGGUGAGGUGGCCGGAAUCGUGAGACACAAUCGGGUCAGGUUCGUGGGUCGGGUCGGGGUUCGGGUCGGUUUACAGCUUCUUUCACUUUCUCACACGUGUAUAUAUGUUCCUCUGUUUCCAGCUUCAUCUUUUACUUUUAUUUACUUUUUAACCGCCUCACCCUUUUUUUUCUCCCACAUAUGUUACAACUUUGGGAGUAACUUCCUUAUAAUAUAAUGGUGGCUGUAAAUUGUUUCUUUGGUCCAUCACUUACAUAUUUCACAAUCCAAUUCUCGCUUUAUACGGUUGCCAUCUCAGGGACAAUAAUAUCUUUGAUCAUAUGUCUCCUGCUAGUUGAGUCUCCUAAUUUUUCUUCAUGAAAUAAGUGAACCGAGAGCCGCUAGCUACUCCAAUUUCUAUAAGGAUUUUGUUCAAUCAAGUAACAAUUUAUCUAUUCAAAAAUAAUCUUUCAUGUAUUAUAACUAAAAUUACAACUAAAAAUAUAAAAAAAAUAAUUAUAGAAUUGAAACGGAUUUGUAGUAUUUGUCAAUUAGCUGAGACAAGGCUUUUACAAUCUUUUAUCACACGUGUGUUUAUAGAUAAAAAGAACUUAAUUACAUAUAAUUUUUAUUUUUAAAACCUUGGAAUUCAACGUAGUUAGGAUUUUGUAUUUUGCACUUUCCCAACUUGGGUUCGGGCAACUUAAUAUCCGGAGUCCCAGUAGCACUAGCACAAAGUAGUCAUUCAUAAUCAUUAACAUAAGUAAGUCGGAUCCACACAUAUCGUUAUACUGAUCAUCGUCUAAAGUUCUAGCUAAAUUAUAUAUUUAAUUAACUCCCUCUCUAGAUACUUCGAUUUUGGUAUCCUGGAUUUUGAUUUCGAUUGAUCUUGAAGAUGGCGGAUGAACAAUCAACAGCAACCAGCACUAAUGCAUUGAGGAUCAACUUUGUAUCAGAAGAACAAUUGGAUGAAGCCAAAAAGACAAGAGGCGAAAGAGUUGAAGAGGGACAGCACAGAGAGAGGCCUCUUCACGAGAUACUGAACGAGAACAAAGCCAAAAAGAAAAAGGAUCUCGAGGACCGCCGGAAGCACAAGCCUCCGAAAUCCUUGGACGAAGACGAGGCCCAGUUUCUUGAUGGAUGGGAGUCGUAUAAGAAGGAAAAAGAGCGGCGGCUUGCUGACCAAGAGGCCCUGGAGCUUCGGCGUUUUAGGGCAGCCGUGGCAUCACAAUGUGUUGCUUCCAAGGAAACAUUAAUAAGCCAUGACGAUGAUCAUCAUCAACAAAGAGUAAUUAUUGGGAAGAAGAAUCCAGCGUCUCGUCCCUUGAGCUCGAUUAUGAAAGUGAUGCCGCUGGCAAAGAAACCUAAGAAAGAUGUUCAGAUUGUGGCAGCAGAAUCGUCUUCAGAUACGAUGAAAAAAAUUGAUGCGGCAGAAAAAUCUCCGGAACCUGCAGUGCUGAAAAGAAAUAGGGGUGAUGCUGAUCAUAAUAAAUGCCCUGUAACAAUAAGUCUGGUUUCAUACGGUUCUGAUAGCGAAGAUAAUCAUUGAUUAGCAUAAUAUUUGUUUAUAUUGUUGCUCAUAUUCUGGAAAGCUUUGCCUUUCGUUGUUCUUCCCGUAAUCAAUUGGAAAUAUUAAUACAUACUUAAUUUUUUUCGUUACUGAUAUUACAAUCAGAUAAUUCUUGAAAUUAUUCUACAUAAAAUCUAUGAAUCACAACUUAGAUUUUCAACCCUCAUUAAUAUUUGAGAAAUACAUAUUGUACUUACAUUUCAUAAAGAAAAGAACUGUCUCUACUCAAUUUGUUCUUUAAUCAACUCAAUCAAGUAGUUGGUUUUUCUUUUUUUUUCUUUUGCAAGUGACAAGAAAGUCCACAUGGCUUGUAUUUACCAUCUUGAUGCAUUUUCUUUUAUUUAUAUUGUAAGAGGUGGUUAAUUUUGGAUUACUCUUUUGUGAAAUAAUAAUUUUCGAAAUAUUCUCAAAUUUAUUGUAAAUCUCAACUUUCCUCCUAUUUUUCUAAAGAAAGCAAAAACAAUUUCGUUAACCCACCCUCAUUUUUCACUUAUCAGUUUGGCAGUGUUUUAAAGAUUGUUAUUUCACAAGAAAUAUUUGAAAACUUAACCAUAUUAAAAUUAUUAAUACAAUACUUUCUAGUUUGUAAUAUCCCUAAAGAUUUCAUUCUAAGUAAUAUGGUGGUAUUCUAAGUAAAGGUGAAAUAAAAUUUCUCAUUCUAAUAGAUAAAUGACAUAUGACUUAAUAAAUAGGCUAAUUAUAAAGAUGAAUAAAAUAAAAGAAAUUAUAAAGGUUAUUCACAUUUUUCUCACUUUUGUUGAAAUAUUACACCAUGGUGCAAACUGACAUAAAUUGUCACAAAGUUAUAAGAAUCAUAAAAUUACAAACCAACAUGUGGGAAUUUAUUAAUUUGGAGAGUUUAUGACUGUACAAGUUAAAAUGUUGAUUGAGAACUUAUAUGGUAUUAUUGAUAUUAAGUGAACCUCACGGAUUCCCAUGAAAUUAUCCCUCACAAUUAAUUAUUAUGAAUAGAAAAAUAGCGAGCGGCCGGCGGUGCUGGUGCUCGACAGGAGCAUGCGAUGACGCCUCUUUUGUUCCAAACCAUUCUCCAUCAAACAAGAGUGCGGCUUCUCACAGAGCAUAAAUAUCCUUAAUCUUCAAACAAACAAUUUAGCCAAGCAACAAGCCAGAAAGUCCCAACAAAAAAUGGAGGCUCUCUCAAGAAUUAGCUUCUUAACAAACUACACUCACUCUCAUUUCCCAAUAUUCUCUCCACUUCCUCAUACCCAGACGCCGCUUUCCAAGAAAACAUCACCAACAUUCUCUUCUUCUCUCUUAAGAACAAGCAGUCGUCCAGGUCAGUCACCACCCCUUUUUUGUGACGCUUCUAAUGCUACCCAGUCAAUUCCAAUUCCAGUUUUUAUGUUUUUAUUACUUCUCAGUGUGUGAAGUUGCUGAAGAGGAUGUUCUGCAAAUGUUCUUUAAAGAUAGAGAAUUGAAUGGUGACUUUAUUUCCAAAACUUCUGAUAUGUUUUGGCUGACGGGGGCUCUGAAAUUUGUUGACUUUGAUGCUGAUGCUGGCAAAUUUGCUGACAAUUCUGAACAAGCUCACCAGGUGGCUUACUUGAUUCUGAUUCAUAAGAAUGUAUCGUAUUCUUCUUUCUUUCUGUUUUUUUUUUUUUUUUGGGAUAUGCAAUUGCCAAUUAGAAUUUCGCUUCGUGUUCUCUGUAGUGGUAUAGAAGUAUGAUAAUUUCGAACAAUUCUGGUUUAUAGAGCAUCUUUCUCGGUACUUUUUGUGGUUCUUAGAGUCUCUUAAGUUCUGACUUUGGAGUAUGGACUCUGGAAUGGUUCUGUCACUAAUAAUGCAGCAAUUUAGCUGUUUCAAUGAGAAAUCUUCCGAAAUUAUUUAUUUAUUUAGUUUCAUGAGUGUCAAAUAAGAAGUUACUGAAUAAUGUAGUUAUGCCAAGUUGGGGGGAAAAAAACAAAUUGAUUCAUUCAAUAUCUUGAAGGAUUUUCAAACUUAGCCAAGCCUGUGUUCUGUUAGAAUUAGCAGUAGCUUGUAUACUCUCCUUUCUAGGCUUUUAUGAGAAAUAAAUUACCGCCCAAGGUGCAGCUCCUUAUUACAAUUGAGGCUUAGACUGGGGUAGAACUGGUGUUUAUAGAAGGAGGACUCAUUCGGUCCCAGUGUUGUUAAAAAGCUCCAUUGAAAUUUCAAGCAGUUGACGAUGCAGAUGCUUUAUUCUGAUCUCUCAUAUAUCACCUCUUCAGCAUUAAACUGUGGCAUCAACUCCACUCUCGACGCAUUUAUGAAUUAAAGUGCGUACAUAUUUCCAUACUGGUUUUAGCUACUCUCUGCUUUAAGGCUCCUCAAUUUAAUUGCUAAGUGUAUGACAUUCUGUUUGUUUUAUUCUGGUGUCUUAGGUGAUUUAGCUUGCUUGUGCUUUUAUUGAUGGUACUAAUAGUUGUAGGUCAUAGAAAGUGACAAUGAUGAUGGAUUUUUGAAAUUACUGAAAACCCAUGAGUGGCUAUUAGGUGACAACUCCGCACCAAUAAAUAAGAAACCUUCUGCUAAGGUAUGCUUUUUCUUGGCUAUCAUUAUAUUAUAAUGGGCUUGCUUGUAAACACUCUUUCCCAUCUCUUCAUCCUUCUUCCCUCCCUUUCUCCCAAUUUCAGCAAAGUAUGGGAAUUUGUUUUAAGUUUUAUAUCUGCAAUUUCAUACUGCUAACCAAUGCAUGUAAAUACAGGCUUUGCAGGAUGACAGUGAAAGAAGGAAGAGACUGAACCUUCUUAAAUAUGAAGCUGUAUGAUACCUUUCUUCAAAUUGGUAUUUCUCAUGGUUAAUUGGUUGUUGAUGGGAUGUCAAUGCCUGAAAUUGGGAUCUUUCUGUUCAGUUCUAGCUCCAUUAUUUCUUUUAAAGUUAGAUUCUCCUUACAUUUGAAAUAUAAAUUGUUUGUAGUUAUCUAACUAACUUUGAAAAAACUGAUUAAUAAAUGAACAUAUUGUAUAAAUAUGUGCAAGGGCGGACUGGUUUCUCUCCUUUUGGUUCUAGGCCUAUGAUUUCAUUAUAUUUAAAUCUGUAACUUUAAUCUUGUGAGCUGAAUGAGCUGAUGCUCACCAUGUGACUGUAUUUUGGUUAAAGGUUGUUCAUAAUUUUCUGUUGGCAAAUGGCAUUUCAAGAGAUGUCUGUUUUCAAAUGAAGCUGCAAAUUUGGUUACCUAAGCUUCUGUUUUGAAACCAAUAUUUCUCCAAUUGGAUCUCCAAGUAACCAGGAUAGGACCUAAGGGAUUCAGUUUUAUGUUAAAGUCAGUAAUAGAACUAAGGGUUCGCAGACUGGGUGUGUUCCAGGAUGCUUUUAUUUUUAUAUUUAUAUUUGUUGGUUUUGAAAACUACUGUUGGAGUCCUACCUAUCUGCUUAACUUUUAGUGGAGCUAGUUUGAUCAAGCUGUCUUGUAUUUGGAUUUUCUGAUGUGUUACUUUCAUUAUUAGAACAUUGAGUUUGCUUCUUGUUCUAGCAAUGUUCCUGUUAUGUUUGAUUUACAUGCCUUGCAUGCGAGGUACGUGUUAGAUUCUGUAGUCUUAGCCUCUUAUCUCUCAGCUUGAACUUUUAGGUUGUGUUAUUACCUAAAAGCUAGCUUCUGCAACAUGGUACCACAAAAGCUGUUUACGAUGCUGAUUUUCGUACUUUGAUCUUGCAGCUGAAGAGGGAACUGAUGCUCUUGUCAGUUGGCAUUGGAACUGCCUGGAGUGGGUAUUGUUUGAUAACGCUCUCAGUCCAGGUAAUAUCUCACAGAAAAGUAAAGCACCAGUAUUUCAAGUUUAAAAAAUGUUUUAUAUCAGACCUUUCUCUAGCCUCUUUAACGGAAGUAUGGAUUAGAAAUGAAUGAGGAUUUGGUGACAAUGGCUCAAACCUACUUUUUAUUAUAUUUUUAUAUAUUUUCAGUAUUUGACUGUACAAAUUGCAACAGAGUAGGCAAAUUUUUUUUUUCUUCCCUACUCUAUUGGAAGGAUUCACUUUUUUUUUUUUUGAAAAAAAAAAAUGUAAAGUAAGAUAUUCAUGAAAUAUUGUAAAUUUUGGGCUUACAUAGAAAUGACCUUGUUAAUUUUACAGGCGGCUUUUAGCUAUGUGGUUGGAGUUCUUUUCAGGUAAGCUGAUGUUUUUAUUUUUCAUAUAUUUAUUUAUGGUGUUUUUUGAUGGGAAACAUAAAACUUUUUAUUAAAAAGAAAAACAUUACAGAAAGUGAACAAGGAGUCCACAAAGAAAGAACCCCUAAAGAUCACAAAAAGUCUAUAUAGUUCAAUGCUGAUAAUAUGACCAAAUAAUUAUAGGAUCUAUAUGACUAAAUGAUCUCAUAACAAAAACAAAUCCAAAGCACUGAGCUAAGCGAACACUGCUUCCAGUUUAGACAAAUGAAGAAGAAAGAAGAAUCUUGAAAUUCCUUUCUAAUGACACCCAAAGAAAAGCUAGUAAUCCUACUCUUUCCCACAAAAAGAUGAUGUCUUCCUCAGAAUCUUCAAAGCGUCCUUCAAUUUCUUUCAAGCCAAUUCACCAAAUAAGUGGACAUAACUGAACAUUUCUGUAACACUCUAGCUUCUCCCACCCCCCACCACCCCUCCGCCCAAAAGCAUAAAUAAUCUCUGAAAGCUGAGAAAUGCUAGAAGCUGGAAUAACUAAAGAAAUUCUAGCUGCCUGAAACAAUGACCACCAUUGUGACAAUGCAAAAACAAAUGAUUUGUACUUUUGCCAUUUCUUUGCCCCAGAUAAGCACACAUUAGGAUUCGUCUUUGAAUAAUAUAGUUUACCUGAAGCCAAGGACCAGACAGAAAGUGGAACUUUUAUUAGGGUCUUUAGCAUUCCGAAUCACUGGGUAAGUUGAUCUAUUUUCACUGAGGUUAAUAUCUGUUUUUUUUUUUUUUGAGAAGAAGGUUAAUGUCUGUUAAAUUAAUAUGUUGGUGAGUCGGUUGUCAAAUUCUAAGCUCGGUGCUGAGUCCUAGUUUUUGAGCUAUGAUUCAAAUGAAAGGUUUAUGAAUAAUAGCAAUACUAAAUAGUGCGAUCAGUUAUCUAAAAGAAUGGUAGAUUCUACUGCCAAUAAUACCAAUAUACCUGGUGAUUUGGACGGAACUUUUUGAUCCAACCUUUUACCUGCCAAUAAUGUAAAAAUAAGUGUAUAGAGAUAUUAUAAUGCAAGGAAGCCAUGAUAAUGUAAGAUGUAAAGUUUCCACCAAAAAUUACUGUUAGUCGUCCACAGGAUUUUUUGGCCUAAAAAAUCAAUAGCUGGAGAAAUGGUCCAUGGGGAUAGAUAUCUUCUAUAAAGUAUUCUCAACUUAGUAGACGCCCUUGAGUGUUUUCUUUGUGGAGGAGUUAUUUUAUUUGGUCUAAUUGGGACUCCAAAGAGCUCAAAGAAUUUAAAGAUAUCGCUCAUUUUCUAGUUUAGGGAAGCGAAAAACUCCGAGAACUCGAGCAGUGCUUUUAGCAACUUUUUUGACAGAAAACUGAAAAAAAGGUUUAUUAACAGCAGGAGACCAUCUGUUCUUAUUACUGAUCCUAAUUCUGGUAGUUUAACAAACCUCAUUUCCAGUGCAGUUGCUUGUACCUUUAGCUCUUAUUCCAACAUGCAGACCGUCUGUCCAAGGAAAUGGUUCCUCAGAUUUUCAUGCAAAAGAAGUCCAAGGAGUACAGAUUAAAUCUUCUGCCCCCCUUUUUUUUGAAAUUUAAUGGCAUCUUUGUAGCUAAGUUGUUUUCUGUCUCCUCCUUGCAUAAGCAAACAUUUCUUUUUCUUUGGUAGAAUUGGAAUAAGAAGCGAGGACCUUAAGUACUUCUUAGAGAGAUCAUUCAAGGGAAGUAGCCUUGCUCUUUCAUCUCCAAGGCUUGUAAUCCCGGCUACAAUAUAUGGUUUGUGGGUUUUGUCUCAUCGGUAUUUUGCCAAUGCCUUCUUUGAUUUCCAGGUAGCAAUUAAAAUAAUUUUUAGUGUUGUCUGCGGCUGUUUGUAUAAGUUUUCAAAUUGAUCAUGAAGCCCUAAAAUUGCUAACAUAAAUUGUGUUUAUUAAUUUUCCCAUUAUCACAGAUUGUUGCAGCCAUGUUUGGCAUGCUUGUAUAUAAGGCUGCCGCCAUUGUUCAAGUUUACAGAGACAAUGAAGACUUGCAAUUGGUAUUUCCAGAAAAUGAGGAAACUUCAAGUGACUGAAAUUAUCCAUAUUAGUAUUCUCUUGGAGUAUUUCAUCUUGAUUCUGAAAUAUUUUCAAGCAGAAAGUACUUCCCAAAGACUAAUUUGUAUGGGCUACCAUCAAGCUUCUAGUGGAAAAAGCGCCCAAAAAAUCUAAGUGGAAUGAUUCAGUUUCUCGAAUAGCUCUAUGGGCCAAUUUGACUGGUUAAAUUUGAACUUCAGAGACUUGUAGGCUACUAUCAGGCACGCCUUCCAAACUCCUACAACUUUUAUGCCAAUCUUUUAAUUGCCAUGAGAUGAUGACUGCUUGAAAAAAAUAUAUAUAUAUUGUUGUGAUGAUAGAUGAUAUGGAACCAUCCGAGUUUGUAAUACUUGCACAGUUUAGGGCCUUUUGGCAAGAUAAGGUUGAUAAAUUUGAGUUAUCAGUAAUCAUUUGUAAUGGGAUGUCAAUCCUCAAAAUUGUUUGCGAGAGUAUGGGUAAACUAUUAGCAUGUAUGCGGCAAUAAUUUGAAUUACAAAUUUUGUGGCUCAACUGUGAUUUUAGUGACUCAACUGUGAUUCCUCUUGGAAGCAUCCUUCACCUUGAUCUAGUCUUUAUUAGAUUCAGCUCUAUGUUUCUCUGAUUGCACGAACAAAUUAGCAAUGUAGGAUGAAGUUCAUCCGAUGAAAGAACAAUUUUCUUUAAGAGGAAGAAACAUAAAUUUUAUAUAAAAGAUUGAACUAUCAAAUCAACAGCCCUCCCAUUUAGUUCUAUUACUUUUGCAUUUAAUUCAAAAAUCUGGACCCUUGCUAAGUUGAGCUAAUUUGUGAAACUUGGUUUGAAAAUUUGUAAAAUUUUAGAGGCCGCCAAUGUAAAAUCCUUCCCCUCUAUUGUAUAAUACUUCAUUUCUUAUCUGCAGUAUAUAGAACAAUAAUUUAAAAAAAUUACAUAAAAUAACACAAGGGAAAACAUGAAAAAAUCUAGUAACAUUUUCUUACAAAGUAGCAAAAUCUAUCCACAAAGCCAUCCAAGAAAUGACCGUACUUGUAUCUCCAUCUCCUGUUGACAAGUAGAGGGCCAAUGAAACACCAAAACCCCACCACAAAUCCAAGUGCCAUGCUUGCGUACAACAACCAAUCCACUUCAUCUGCAUCUUCAUCUUCGUUUCCAUUUCCAUUCGGAACUUCAGGUGCAAAAGUAUUCUUCUCUGUACAAUCAGGAAGUGGCGCUCCACAGAGAUCAUUACCGGAAAAACAAGAUGCACCAAAGCUUUGCAACUGAGUGCUUGAAGGAAUUUGCCCAGACAAGUCAUUUUCUGACAGGUUCAAGUGAUUAAGAAAUGAUAAACUUGACAUACUUGGAGGAACCCUACCAAAAAGUCGGUUUGUUGAGAAAUCAAGGGAUUCAAUUGAUCUCAUAUUUCCAAUCUUCUCUGGAAUUUUUCCUACGAAAAAGUUGUGUGAUAAAUUCAAGGUUUGCAAUCCUUCAAGAUUUGUCAAUUGCAUAGGUAUUUCUCCUGAGAAAUUAUUCUUGGAAAUAUCAAUGCUUCUUACCAAAUUAAGAAUGGAGUUGUAUUCAACCAAAAGCCCUUUUGUCACAACGGAUGCAUCCUCAAAGACAAUAUUGCCUCUCGUAACAAAGUAAUAUAUAGCGUUUUUCUGAUUAGAUGAGUUUAUUGUCGCCAUAGCAGUGAAGUUGUUGAUACAUCUCGGUAUGGUCCCUGAGAGAUUGUUAUGUGCAACAUCUAAAAUCCGUAGAAAAGUUAGAUGACAAAGUUGAACUGGCAAAGAUCCAUUAAAUUUGUUUGAUCGAAGAUUGAGAAUCAACAAUCUUGGAAAUCUUUCUCCCACCCAUGUCGGAAUGCUGCCGAAAAAGUCAUUUUCUCCGAUGUCAAGAGAUAUCAAACUCGAACAAUUCUUAAGUGACACGGGAAAUAUUCCAGCCAAUCGAUUAUUGCGAAGGUGCAAUGACCUAAGAGAACUUAAAGUUCCAAUUGAGAUUGGAAGGUUACCAGUAAAGUAAUUGUCAUCUAAAUUCAGCACCUGCAAAUGAGGCCAAUUCAUCCAACAAUCUGGUAUGUCUCCAGAAAAGUAAUUUUUUGAGAGUUUGAGAGAAAUGAUCACCGACUUAUUAUCCCCGUUACAUAUUAAAUGAAUAAUAGACCCCGAUAAAGCAUUAUUAGAAAGAUCAAGUAAACCAAACUCGAAAGGUUGAUAAGGCAAUGGACGGUGAUCAAAAUAUGGAAUAACACCGUAGAUUUGAUUGUUUGAGAGAUUCAGCUCCUGAUAAUGGGAAGAAUUCCAAAACCAACGAGGAAUAGUUUAUUAAAAUACAAAUUAUUAUUAAAAUAUAUAUAAUAAUUUAUAUUUUGAAAAUUAUUUUGUAUAUUAAAAAAUUUUAAUAUUAUUUGACUAAUAGAAAAAUUAAACUACUUAAAUUAUAUUUAUAUUUAUUAAAAAAUUAAAGCUAAUUUUUUUAAUUACUUUUUACUAAUGGUAUUAUAGUCAAAAGAAAGAUUUGCCAAGGGUGAAUCAUUUGCUGCAACUCAAGAAAAGCCAAUAAAAUUCAGUUUUAGUUCCCUUACCAGCACAAAACCAAUUGAAUCAAAUUUGUUUCUCUCUCUCUCUCUCUUUUGUAGUCUCAUCUAUACAGUUAAUUUGCUCAAACUUGUUUUCUUUUUUAAAUUUGAUUAUUUUUAAUUUUGGAAGCUAGUGUUUUUUAUUUUUGUUGAGAGAGCAUAUUUGAAAAAGGAGAUUAUUUAAAAAAAAAGUAUUUUUGGCAUUAAAGACAAUAUAAUUGGAAAAAAAAUAAGAUGAUUUUGGAGGGGUCAUAUAUUAUAUACAAUAUAAUACACGGGUGGGAUAUUUCUACCCAAUUAUUUGUAUAAACCCAUCCCACUUCUAAAAAAUAUUUAUAAUAAAUACACAUUUUUCUAAUAAAUAAAAAUCAACAAAAAAUUAAUGUAAUUAAUCAAUUAAAUCGUUCUUAUAUUUUUUCUUUUUUUUUACUAUUAAAGUAGCUUUAAUAUAAGUUCUAUUUAAUUAUUUUGCUUUAUGACAUAAAGUGACCCAUUGGGCCAAAAAAAAUUUGUUCUUAUAUCUAAUACUUUAGGUACUUAAUUUUGUGACUUAGAAUCUACCUUCUUAAAUGAAUCCUAAUAAUUUUCAACGUUUUACAUGUAAAUGACAUAAAUUUGACAGCCUAAUAAUUUAAUGAGUAUUUUCUCAUAAAGACAUUAUGCCAGUUUAAUUAAAAAUAGUCCAUUUAAAUUUAGGUUUAAGUAAUCUUAUUAGUCCCAUAUAAAAAAAAACUAAGUUACAACAAAAUAAAUUAAGAUAGAUUUAAUUGAUUAAUUCUUUUAAAUUCUUCUUUAUUUGAAAUUUUUAAAAAUAAUGAAAACUUUUUGAAAUUAUUUUCUAAAAGUGGGGUGGAUUUGUAGAAUUUGUGGGGUAAAAAUAUCAUCACCCAUAAUACACAUGUCCAUAUAAAGAGAGUUAACACAUAAAAGUUGUAUAAAUAAGUUCAAAUAGGGCCCAACACAGAAAAUUAAACUAAUCCAAGCUUUUUUUUUUUGAAUUAAAGUAAUCAGGGGGUUGAAAAAAGAAACUUUGCAUAAAUAUGCACAAACUAUAAAGUGAUGUGGUAUGAAAAUUGUGAUUGAAUUAAGCAAAUGGGCAAUGUUAUAACUAUUAAUUCUUUUGUACUAAUUGAUGUGACACUAUAUGAGUGGUUAAAUGAAUACAUCACCAAGCUUAUUUUUAUUAUUUUAUAUUUUUAUUCAACUAAUUCUUAUGUUAUAUUAGUUUGUAUAAAAAAUAAUUUCUAUAAAAGUUUGUAGUUGUAACAUUACUCAAAAAGUUAUAUGGCUUACAAAAAUUUUUUCAUUAAGGUUGUGGCUAUUUGAACCUCAAAAUUCCUCAACAUACCCAUACUUUUAUAAAAAGUUUUAGUACUAAAUUAUCUGUAAACAAAAUUAUUAAUAAAGACAUAAUACUGAAAUGAUUUUUUUUAUCAUAUUUAAGAUCUCUUACUUUAAUUGGUCUAAACAAGAGAAAUCGAAGUGAAAAAUUGAUUCUGAUAUUAGAAAUAUGCCAGCUAAUUAUGAGAAAUUGGACUCAGAUUUACAAAUGGGUAAUUUCUUGAUUUUGGCAUGAUACGGCAAAGUAGCAAACAUGCUUAAGAAAACGAAAUGUGCAUAAGAGAAUGAUAUCAUAUUGGUUGCUAUAAGGUCCGCCGUUUAUUCAUACGAUAUUUCCAAUCUAACUAAUUUAGGAUGUAAAAUUGAAAUGUAUUUAUGACCACACCUUUUGCCUUUUGGCAAAUUUUCCGUGCCCGUUCAUUUCGAAUUCUGGACCAUCAUUUGAAAUUUCCGCGUCAUUGACUGCUAUGGUUCCGUAAGUGGACUUGCGAUUAGCCUGAGUUACUAGGCACUUAUCACUAAAUCACAUAACGUGACUUAGUUGCCUGCUUCAUGGGAAUAAUUGGUGACCUGUUUGCUUGUUUGAUUGAGUUGGGGGGAGAACACAAAAAACAAAAUUUUGUUUCAUUUGAUCAAUCAUUCAAGAAUCCAGGACUGAGAGCAAACUCGGAACUGUAGAAAACGAAGAAUAUAGAAAUUGAGGUCCCGAGAAAUUGAGAGCAAAAUAGAUAAAGAAGGAUCGGAAAAGAACAAGCUAGAAAAAUUAAAAUGGAAGACAGAAAUGCCGAGAAAAGAGAUAAAAAUAAAUAAAAAGACUAGAGAACAAAAAUGCAUUAGAGGAUUAAAAUGAAAUAAUGUAAAUUAGAGGGUAAAAAUAUUUUUUGACGUUCGAGAAUUCAUGUUUUAGCCUUGAGUGGGGUUAUUUAAACUCACCAAUUUCUCCUUUGUGCCUUAUUUUUUAAAUUAAAAUAUUAAUUAUCAAAUUAAUUUUGAUAAAAUUAUCUAAUUAACCCCUCUUCUCUCUCUCUCUCUCUCUCAAUUCCUGAUCAGCUCUAAUAAAUUCUUUCGACUUUCUCGUCUACAAAUGAAUGUGAAAUCUUACAAAUACUUGAAAUUAAUUUUCCUAUAGGCUAUAACCAAUAUCAAAUCAAGGCUUGGUGGCUCGAAUUCCUUCAAGACUAGGGUUCUCAGGGCCAAAGGGGUUUGCAUGCUUCGCUUAGAAAUUUUAGAGGCUGAAUAACUAAACUCAGCAAACCAUUUGGCUCACUGAUCUUAUUCAAAAGCUCUUCGACCAACAGCUUAAUAAUAAAACUAUUCUUUCUUCAAUUUAUAGGAACAAAUCCACCAUCCAAAAAUGAGUAUCAAGAAUUUUAAGUAACCACGAAAGCAACAAAUUUUUUGUUUUUCCCAAAAAUCUGUGUAAAGUUACAAAUCUUUGCAUUAAAUUGAAAAUAAAUUAAAAAAUCACAAUUCAAAUGCCACAAAUAAAAUGUAGUGGAAUUUAUGAAAAAAAAAAUCCAUGGCCAAAGAGAGUGAAACCAUAAGUUUUUAAUUUGCAAAAAGUGAUGUUGAGAGAGAACAAGCACUGUAAGAAAGAGAAGGAAAUUAAUGGGCAAUUUUAAGAUUUUAAAAUUUUAAUAAUUAUUAUAUUUUUAUGAUGGGUGUAAAAAAAAAUUUAGUGGUUUUAAAUAAUCCCAUCUUUAGCUUUUAGUACAGACAUAAGUUCUUUUAUCACUCCUAACUGUUAAUCUUUUAACCAUACAAUUAAGAAAAGUUUGCAAAGCAAAGAAUCCAUGGAAGAGUCAGAAUCAAACCAGUGGAGACUCUCAAGAUUUUUUUUUCCCCUAGUUAAUCAUAAAAAUAUCAUCGGAACUAUCAAUUUGCAUUAUUAGAUUGGAAGAUUGUGACACAUUAAUAUAAGUCGAACUCGUGGAUAAUUUUGGAGGAAAAUAAAUUUAGCUACCUACUUCAUGCGAAUUGACGACCUGUUUUCCUGUUUGAUUGCGUAUCAAAAAAAUGGAAAUUUAUUUCAUUUUCAAGCAUUCAAAAGAAUCGAGAGACUGAGAGCAACUUAGAAAAGAUAAAAGAGGAAGAAAGUAGAAAUUGAGGUCGACAGAAAUUAUAGAGAGUAAAAUAGAUAGAGAAGGAAAGGAAAAAAUGAAAAUGAAAGAAAUAAAGACCGAGAGACAAAGAGGAAAAAAAGAAGUUAUCAAAAUAUGUAUUGGAUGGUUAUAAUAACAUCGUAAAUUAGAGGGCAAUAGAUUUAUAAAUUUUGAGAAUUUAGUUGUUAUAGUUCUCACUAUUAAAUUUUGAACUCUACGGAGAAGUUUUAAAACAAUCAAUCCGUGAUUAUUCAAGAUUCGGUUACAAGAGCGAUACACUUUUUAUUUUUUAUUUUUUCAUUUUGAGUAGCACUAUUGGCCCUUCAAUAAUCCUUAUUAAGACCCCUGUUUUUUUUGGUUCUUACAACUUAAACCACAUAUGAAAUUACUUUAAAAGACAAAUAAAAUUCUAAUGAAAAUCAUGUAGACUGCACAAUUCUCUUCUACGAGCCCAUUUAAAAUAACGGGAAAAAAUAUUCAAAAUAAAAGAGAGAAAAAAAAAUAAGUAACAAAGAUUUGUUAUGUAAAACAUAAAAUGGUCCACGAAAUUAUUUUCAUUAAAGUGGGGUUAUUUAAGCCCACAAAAUUUCUUUAAACACCCAUAUUUUUGUAGAAAAUUUUAUAUUAAAUUAUCGGUUAACAAAAUUAUUAAUAAAUAGGUAAUACUGAAAUGAUUUUUUAUUUAUAUUUUUAGUCUUUAAUUUUAGGUGUGAAUUUUUUUUUUUCUGAUAACAGAAAUAUGCCAGGAUAAUUAUGAGAAAUUAGAUUCAACGUAAUUAAUUCAGAAUUGUAGAACUAAAAAAGUAUAUAAGACAACACCUAUCCCUUUCGGCAAGAAACUAACCUCGGGAGGAAAAUGGAGAGCCUGAGACCAAACUAGAAAUGAUAGAAGAGGGAAAUAAAUAGAAAUUGAGGUCGAGAGAAAUUAUAGAGAGGCAAAAUAGAUAAAGGAGAAUAGAAAAAGAAAAAGAAAAAGAAAAAGUGGAAGAAAGAAAGGCCGAUAGCAGUGGUUAAAAAAAAAAAUUGUUAGAUGGUUAAAAUGAAAUACUGUAAAUUAGAGGGUAACAAAAUUUUCUGAUAAAUAAAACGUAACAGUACUAAUAAAAAGAGACUUCAUACAACUAUAUAUUAAAUGUCAGAGAUCCAAUAGCAAGUUGUAAGUAUCUUAAUUAGCUAAAUUACACUUUCCACUUCUCUUUUUUUUACAUUUUAAAAAAUAUGUUCAAAUCCACAGGCCAAAGUAUCUUCAUUCUAGAUUUAAUUUUUGUAAUGCCUAUCUGAAAAAUUUUCUCCAUAAAAAAUUUUCUUUAUAGUUUUCACGAGGCCUAAAAUACUUUGUGCAAGGACAACAAAUUACAUUCCUUCACUUUCCAUUUAUUUAAUUUGAAAUUGAGUUAUUCGUUUUGCGAAUCAAAGAUAUUGUACAAAAAAUUGGGCUGCUGGUCCAGCAGAGACUUUCUUAUUUUGUUGGUCAAGAGAUUUCAUUGGCCCUGAGAUUAACUUUGGUCUAAUUGGUAGGCUAAGUAGACAAUGAAUAGAAAUUGUCAAGACAUGAAGCCCUCAAACUACUAACAGUACUAGUGUUUAUUCAUUUGUAUGCAUAUUGGUUCCUGUUAUUCCCAGCUUGUUCCCGCCAUGUUUGUGCAUAAGGCUGCUGCUCUUGUUCAAAAGUUCAGUCACGAAACGAAAACGUUAUUGAACUUGCUUGAAAGAAAAAAUUAGGAAUUUUUUAAUUAUAAAUAGAGGAAUCCCUCACUAUGUGCAUAUGCGAACUACAGCAUCCUGAGAAUAUAUUGAAGGGUAAAAUGGGUAGGAUCACAUACUACACUAACUUAACAAGAUUUUCAAGCAAGUGCAACAAAGUAUAACUCCAAAUACUGUAAGAAACAAUAGAGGAAAGAAUUCUUAAAAACCAAGUUCAUGUGUGUCUUAUACUUAACUCAAAUUCAGUCCAAUUGAGGUUAAAGCUUAAACCAGUCGCAAAACAGCAGAUCCGAUGGGUGAGCUGCGAGCUGCGUCGAUGACAAUGGUUGUGGCUGCAUUGGUGACUAUGGGUUGGCUCUAUGUCUACCGUGCCGUCUUCGAUCAUUAGUGCUGUCAGCUACCACUUUUCUUUUGCAUUGUGUGUGUGAAAAGAAGAAGAGAUUUGUUCGUAGUCGUGUGUGCUGUGCGUGUUUCAAUUUGAUUGUUUUUUGUUAUAUUUUGGAAUGGCUAAUUAUAAGAACUAACUCAAUACUUCAACCUUUAAUUAAUCAAGAUCGAAUUGAAACAAGAUUGAUAAAGAUCUGAGUAAAGAGCAGAAAAACAGAACAAGAUUUCAGAGAACUAGCUAACAGACUUGAAGGAAAAAUUCACACUCUUUCAUUCAUCAAAACUGAGUACAAAACCGAUCACAAAUGAAGAGAAGAUUACAAGAAUCACGUGUGUAGAAGAAUUAUUCUAAUUGGGGAAGAAAUGAGUGAAAAAGAGCUUAUAUAUCAGAUGCUACAAGCUAGCUUCACGUUUUUGGAAAAUUUCCAGAAACCAUAUAACGAACUUUAACAACUCAGGCCACGUCAGCAGAAAUUUACAAAUACAUCCUUCAACUGAAUGCAAUCUGCACAAUGACCCAUGCAACUCUCAUGUGAUUUCACUUUAGUCCCAAAAAUCAGUUAAUCACUUAUCUAGAUUUUUUAAAGUUAUGGUGAAAUGAUGCCAUUUCAUAUGGUGAAACGAUGUCGUUUCACUUAUCUAGAAACGACAUGUCCUUUUUAUCAUUCUACAUAGGAUGACAUAUUGUUUUAUAUGGGAUGACAUGCAGUUUUAUAUAGGACAACCUGUCAUUAUUUAUAGGAGCUUCUUUUAUUUUAAAAGAUCAUAUUACUCUUUUGAUGUCAUCACUUACAAACGGCAACUAACGGAUUAAUGGUUGACAUACAAUUUUUGUUACUUAAAGUGAAUGAUUGAUACACUCUUAAAAUGUUAUAAUAUUUUUAAUAAUAUUAUAAAUUUAAGACAUAUGAAUGAUAAUUUCCAAAAAAAGAAAAAAGACACUUCAUUGAUCUACAGUGAUCCUACUGAAUUCUAAAGAGAAGAAAGUACAGUAGAGAUGCCUGGGCUUAACUUCAUCAAAUGCUAAUGUGCAAUUAACCCGUGCGAGCUAUAACAAAUAACUCUUUUAGAAUUUUCUCCCGCGGUUAGAUUUGGUACUUCCAACUAACACAAUAACAGAUAACUUGUAAAAUCGGGUGGUAUGAAAGCCCUCUAGAGCCCAAAUCUUUAGUUCCCCUUGUUUGGACUUUGGACCUUCUUCACUCUGGGGGGCUUUUGGCAACAAGUCCACAACGUAACGCCCACUAGAUCACCCGUAUACUGGAAAAUUUAAAAAAUAAAAAAUAAAAUGAAGUGUGAAUCCAACAAUCAAGUGACGUCUCCAAAUUAACGUGAGAAAAUUGUAGAGCAACAAGCAUCGAACUCUCAGUAAGAGUGAGUCGCACUGUUAUUAACAAAACAAAACAAAAACGAAACAAAACAUGCUCUCUGUCAAGUGUCUCUCUGAUCAAAAUUAAUUUUCCAUUUUAAUUAUUAUAAUCACCAGAUCAAAUCGAAAGGAACCAUAAUAUUUAUUCACCAAUUUAAUGUUAGGAAAUUGAGCUUCCUCCCAAGAUCACUCCAAACAAUUUGUCAAGCAACAAACUAAUAAGAAAAAUAUUAAAUAGAGAAUACAUCAAUCACACAGCACAAGAUUUACGUGAAAAACUCUAAAUUCGGAGAAAAACUACGGCCGUUGUCACAAGACAACCAGAAAAAAAAUAUUCACUAUAUGAAAAAUUAUUACAACCACAUUUUUAGAAAUAAUUUUCUCUCACCCAAGCCCCAAAUAUAUGAUCCCGAGAAAUAUUCUUCAACAAAACAAACUCGUAAUACCCAUAUUGAGGAGCCAAAUACUCCUUCAAUAUAACUACAUGCUUAAGAACAUUUCUCUCUCUCAAUUUCUCAUCAAAACUUGGAUACAAAAGUGAGGAGGAGCACCCUCUUAUUUAUAACCAAACGGAAGCACUAUUCAAACCGCGUUAUUGUUCAUGCCGGGUUACUGUUCACCGCGUGGUCAAACCUUUUUUUUUUUAAUCAAUUUUCAACAAUCUCCACCUUGAUUAAAAAAAAAUUUCAUAGCUACUGCUACAACACACUGUCUUCACCAACAAUCAUAAUUCUCAACAUAGAGAAUUAUCAUACUCCACCAUAAAAAAAUAUACUACUUAGAAUCAGCCAUUUUAAGAUUUUUCUCUGCACAUGUCAAACAUAUCCGCUGAACAUUAUGGUGCAAUUCUCAAUGUUUGGUUCCCUGAGAAUUCUUCAGCCAUGACAUAACUUUUCCACCACACACCUUGCAUUUAUACCAAGCCAAUGCCUGCGUGCAAACUUGUAGACCUCGCUGAUAAUAACAUGUUCUCUUUCAUGGCAACUUGGAGAUCUACAUGCCGAAAGAACUAACUCAGUCUCUUAUCAAAAGGAAACUCACCAUCUGCGAGAAUAUCAGUAUCUCUUUUUACUGAUUAUGGAGCAAUUUGCCGAUCCCGCUCCACCUUCUUGACAAUUUCCUUAAGGUGCUAAAUUGCCACACCUUCAAAUCUUUUUGCAUACUAGAUUGGACAAAACUUUGACUUGAUUUCUCCACAAGCCAAAAAAUCAUUCUCCCAUUAAUUUUUAUAUUUCAAAUUUCACCGGAUUUGAAAAUUUCAAUCCUGACAUAUUUACUUUGCAGAUAAGCUUUUACUCUUCACCGCGGACUAUUUGGAUUGGCUCCCACUGCUUCACGUGAACAGUAUCGUAUACAUGAAUAAUAUCAUAUACGUGAAUAGUACCGUGUACGUGAACAGUGUCCCGACACCAGAAUUUCAACUAAUGGCUCUGAUACCACUGUUAGGAAAUUAAGCUUCCUCCCAAGAUCACUCCAAGCAAUUUGUCAAGCAACAAACUAACAAGAAAAAUAUUAAAUAGAGAAUAUAUUAAUCACACAACACAAUAUUUACAUGGAAAACUCUAAAUCCGGAGAAAAACUACGGUCGUUGUCACAAGACAACCAGAGAAAAAUAUUCACUAUAUGGAAAAUUAUUACAACCACAUUUUCAGAAAUAAUUUUCUCUCACCGAAGCCCUAAAUACAUGAUCUCGAGAAAUAUUCUUUAACAAAGCAAACUCGUAAUACCCAUAUUGAGGAGACAAAUGCUCCUUCAAUAUAACUACAUGCUUAAGAACAUUUCUUUCUCUCAAUUUCUCAUCAAAACUUGGAUACAAAAGUGAGGAGGAUCACUCUCCUAUUUAUAACCAAACGGAAACACUAUUCAAAAUCGUGUUACUAUUCAUACCGCGUUGUUGUUCAUGCCGCAUCACUGUUCAAACUGCGUGGUCAAAUUGCGUUACUGUUCACCACUUGGUCAAACCUUUUUCUUUUUUUAAUCAAUUUUCAACAUUUAAGAAACAAUGUCAUUCCCUCUUUUUAACCCUAGAUCAAAAUUCACAAAUGGCUUAUCAAAAAGCUCGAGAGCGCGACAUGCUGGACUCUAGGGGUGGGCAAAAUCGGGUUCGGGUCGGGUUCGGGUCAAUUCAAUCGGAUUUCGGGUUGAUUGGGUUGGUUAAAAAUUAAUCCGAAUGAAACCCGAAUUAUAGACCCGACCCGAUAGUUCGGAUCGAGUCGGGUCGGGUCAACGAUGCGGGUUAAAUUCGGAUAGGAUUGGGUUCGUAUGUAAUCAAUUUUGAAAGCUUCAAAAUCUUGUUCGGGUCACAAAGUCAGAAAGGGCAGACCGGCAAAGCCAAAAACUCGGGUCGGGUUGGAGCUUGAGCCUUGGAGCAGCAGAUCGGUGCCCACGGCAGCAGAUCGCAGACGAGUUUUCAGCAGUAGAUGGGCACACGUGCAGCGGUAGAUCGCGACAGCUGAAUGCACAGCAGCAGCUCGCGACGACUAGUCGGAGAGGCAACAACAGAUCCGGGACUGGAGAGGGUUGUGUGUGUGAGUGUUGUGGCUGUGGGUUGUGUGUGUGAGAUCGUGAGGGUUGCAAACUUGCAGAGGGUUUGUUGUAGUUUGUUUGUAAUUUGUAUUUUGCGAUUUGUGAAUCUGUUUGUGUUUAUGAAAUUGUGACUGUGAGUGUGCCCGUGUGGUGUGUGCGUGUGUUUAGGUUAGGUUUAGUUUUUUUUUUUUUUAUAACCCAAUCGGGUUUUCUGAUCGGGUCGGUUUUACCCGACCAGAUCAAAACCCGAUCGGGUUUAUAAAAUUUCAUCCUAUCGGGUUUCAUACACAACCCGAUCAGAUCCGAUCCGAACCCGAAAAGUUUCGGGUCAGAUCGGGUCGGGUCGGGUAUUUUGCUCACCCUUAUUGGACUCCCUCUACUCGAUGCUAGCGCUCAUCUUCAUACUUGCCGCUUGCGUCGAGCUCUGUGACGUUGCCACCAUUGUCGACAUCUAUCGUCUCAUUCAAUACGACAUCUCCGGCGUCCCAUUUGGAUCUCGGCUGGCGAGCCUCAAUCACCACACCGGCUUGCUCCAUUUUUCGCCCGGCGCGGACCAGUCACGAACCGUUGUUGUGAUUCCGGUUCGCGAAUUGAACAUUAGCUUGUCAGAGGUAUUUUUAUUUAGUUUUUUAACGAUUGUCAUUGCUAAAUAUAAAGCUUUUGUGAGUUAAGAUUUAUGAGAUUUUCUAUUUUCUAUUCAAACACAUCCAAAUUGAUUUUUUAUUCUUAUAAGUUCUAAUCACUUGCGUAAAACAAAAGUAAUUAAUUAACAAUAAACAACUACGUAUAUGUAUACAUCUUCUUCUACACGGUACUAUAACUCUUAUCUCAUUAACAAUUCCAUUCUUGUUAUCUAAAACACUUUGAACGCCCAAAAAGCUGCAAGCAUGACAAGUCCACUAGCAAGACAAACAUUAUUCAAUACCCUUUCUGCCCUUUCCUUUUUCUCUUUUCUAUCAAUUUUCCUCAUCAAAAACUCCUCAUAUCUCUCUUUCACUUCCUCUCUCCUCCCAUUCUUUCUCUUCCCACUCUCCAUAACCCCUUGCAAAAUUACCAAACCAUCAUUCCCACUCAAAUUCCUCCCCUCCAUGUCUUUCAUUUGCAUGUUCACUUCUUUCACAGUUUCACGCAUAACAUUUCCUCACCUUUCUUUCCCCUUCCCCCAGGUGUCACCAUCACUUCACACUCCAUGCACUCCCUCGCCGGAAACAAUCCCCACCGUUGAUUACCACCUGCGGCGAUCACCACCGCAUAUUUCACGUGCAAGUCACUUGUCAACCAGCCUUGUCGCACGGAAACCGGCAACCGGCUGGAUAAGUUCACCGCCCGGUUUCUGCUAGAGUCGAUUAUUAUCCAACUCAAUGUCAAGUUCUUUUCAAGCUCUUCAAACAGAAUAUUUGCUUCACUCACAAAGGGUAUCUUCGUCGGAACGGAAUCUUUCGCGUCGACCAGGUCAAUGCUUAAAGGUGGGAACUGAAACCAGCCGGUUACUGUCUCAUUCUCUGCAACCCUAGAGAAGACGGGAUCGUUUCUGUAGUAAAGAUCAACGGCCGAGAUUAUCUGUUCGGUGACAAGUAAAGAAUCAUCAUCAUGAAUGUGUUUUGAGGGUUCUUUUUGGCAACCAAGAACCGGGAAUGAGUGAGAGAAAAAAGACCGGUGACCACCUCCGGGGUAGGAGGAGACGAGGGUUCGCACACGUGGGUCGUUAGAGGAAGGCCACGUGGAGGAGCAGAUAUGUUGCCAGAGUUUUUCUUGUGCACAUAGAGAGUGUAGACGAGAUGAAGUGCAAGCUGCGGCGGCAAGAGUUUGGCCGUCGAGUCGGGUUAAGAUAUGAGUCUCAAUGAUGUCGGGAAGCAACGUUGUGAUGCCUUGAUGGCUUGUAAAUUUUGUGGGACAAGGAGAAGAAGCCAUUGCUUCUUAAUUUUUUACCUCAAAAUGGAGUUUGAAUGUUGGGUUCAUUUAUAAGCAAACGAGUUAGGCCUAAUCGGUCUAAUAACAAUGUUGAAACAAAUAAUGAUAAAAGGUGGAUCAGUUUUAGAAAAUGUUAUUCUUUGGUUAAUCCAAUCAUAGGAUAAGUUGUUGAUUCGCUUUAAUGUAAUGAGAAAGAUUUAUGAAUUAAAUUCUAAAAGUCAAGGUUGGUAGGCUAUAGACAAAUGCAUAAAAGAUAGAAAAAGGGAAUUUCCAGGCAGUGGAUGAAAAAGAACAAGGACCUACAUUCAUAAACAUUUCAUUAAGAAAGGAAUAACAGUCGACGUUUUUUUUUUUUCUUUUCCCUCUCAAUCUUUUAGAUUUAAAAAAAAAAAAAUUUAUGGGCCCUAAGGCGUGUGGUGGAGUGUUUUUUAAGUAAUUUAAUUUAAUUAAUCACUUGAGUUCAAAUUCUGAGAAAAGUAGAGAAAUGAAAAUUGAUUUAAAAUUUAUCUUAUUCUCUACCUUUAAAAAGAUUAAAUAUAUAUAUGUAUGGUAGUUUAUAAAAAAAUUUGUGCUAUUUUUUAUAUUUUUUCUUAUAAAUACAAAAUACAAUAGUAAGAUAAGAGGAUUCUUAAAAUGAUUUUCAGGUAGUUUUUCUUUGAUUAAACCUAUGUUUUGAGGGCGGAUAAAAGCCUAAAAAGUCAUGAAUCUAUAGGUUUCGUCAACUUCCCCAAUCUUUUUUUCUUUUUCUUUUAAAAAAAUCUGUUAGCGAUCUACUUGUUUUGUCAAUAAAUAAUAAAAUGAAAGCUUAUAAGAAAAAAAAAUUCAUUUGUAUAAAACCUUUUUUUAAAUUAAAGAAAAGCACUUUCAAUUUUUUUUUUUUUGGAAGUCUAAUGAAGUCAUUGCGAUUGAUUGUCACUACCUGCAAGAUAUCAUAACGUGUGAGUUGUGACCAAGACCUUAUCCUCUCAGGAAAGUUGGAUGAAAAUGUUUGCUACAAGGAACAGAUCAACGUCACAACACAAGUUGGGAUAUUCUUUUUUAAUUCACUUGUAAUAAUUCUAUUUAAAAAAGAAACAAAGAGAAAUAUUGUGUUGUUUUUCUUUCAGUACUCUGGUGAGAGGUAUUCAUUGCCAUGACGUGGCUUAAAUUUAGUAAAUAAACAAUUCUCUGUAAAAGUGAUGCUACAAUUAUGUAAUAGGUGACUCAAAGUUACGUUAAGCGUAACUUACGUUUUUUGUCUUUUUCUUUUGGCUAAUUUCACUUAAGUCCUUAUAUUCUUUAUGUUUUAUGUUUAUGGAUGUAUUUGCCUUCUUCUAUCAAUUAUACAUCUAUUUUUCAUUCUUUCCAGGGUUCUUUUUAUUUCUCUAAAUAAUAACAUAUGAUUAUCAAAUUCAUAUAAAUCUAUGAAUUCAAAUAUGUAGAUACACCAGUGGUACAUUUAACCAAGCACAGGUAAAUUAUCCUGUACAUGAAAAAGAACUACUUGCAAUAUACAAAGGAACAAAAAAGUUUUCAUUAUUCUUAUUACAAAAGCAAUUUAUAAUAGAGACAGAUAACUCUCAGGUAAACUCAUUGAUAAAUAGAAUUUUGCCAAACGAACCUCAAUACAGAAGGUUACAUAGAUGGUAGGCUUAUUUGUCAUAUUACAAUUUUAAAAGGUAUAUCGGCGGGAAUCCAUCGACGUAAGUUCCGGAGAUGAACCCGAAUGGGCAUUAGUCCGGUCCGUAUUGAUGGGGAUCUAACAAUUUCCUUGCAGAUUUUUUAAGCAAGAACAUAGAAUUUAGAGAUGAAUCCAGAAGUAAAUAAAAUUCUUUCUGGAAUAAAUGCCGAAUUACAUAGAUUGGCAACAGAAGCAUCAGACAUAAUCGAUGCCAUAAAUUAUAUUAAAGAGGCUUCAGAAGCCUAUGAAAAAGGAGUCCAUUUGUUGGGAUCAUACUUAAACGACCUGACAAAAGCACUCUCAAUAAACAAUGUGCCAGUUAGCACCAGCCCAAUGGAUACAGGAAGCAGUGGUGGACCCCUUAGAGACCAUAAACCAAUCUCUGAUCCUGCUCCUAGCCAAACCAUAUCCAUAGAAGUUGAUCCUCCAAAACCAAGUCCAUCUAAGAAAUACAUCCAAAUAAAUAAUCCCUAUAUUAAAAUGUAGGCUUAAAGUUUCGUCUAUAUUUUUAUCUUUUAUGUGCACACAAUAUCUAGGGUGACAUGUGAAUAAUAGCUUAGUAUAACAUAGGUUUCCUUCUGUCUUUUUAUUUUUCUUUUGUCCUUUUUUCAUUACAGACAUUUCUAUUUUUAUUUUUCCUACUUCCUGUUUUAUUUCUUUUAGUUCUUCCUUAAGAUUUAAAAGUAUCUCUUUUAAUUCUCUUAAUGUGGUUUCCAUUAAAUCUAAGGAUACUUAUUGAAGUUUUACUUAUUCGGAUGUAUGUUACGUUGCAUGUAACAUAGGUUUAGCCUUAUGUAAUUGGGAUAAAAGGCGUUAAUAUAUUGCUUGUAUUUAAAGGGUGUGUUCUGCACACUGUAUUAUAUUCUACUGUAUUAUAUUAUUUUAAUACAAAUGUAUUAUAUUAUACUACAUUACAUUAGUAAUGUAUUAUAAUAAUAUUGUAUAAUGGUUUGUAUUACAUUGUAUUGCAUUAAUUUUAUUGUGAUUAAUUUAAAUUAUACAUUUAGAAAAUAAUAUUUUUUAGUACCUAGAAAAAUAUUAAGUAUAGAAGUUUUAAAUUUUAAAAAUUUAACAUUAUUUUUAGUAUAAAUUUUAAAAAAUAUCAUAAUUUUUUCAUAAAGAUCGAAGCUUAUAACUUUACAUUUUUGGCAACAUAACAUUCAUUUUUCACUAUUUUCUAAAUAUAUAAUGUGUAAAAUAAAGAUCAAAGGAUAUAAUUUAAUCAAAUAAUCUCUAAAUAAUAUCAUAAUCUAAUAAUGUUUUAUAUUAUUAUUUUAUUGGUAUUAAUUGUAAAUUAAUAUUAUUUAAAUUUAUUCAUUUACAAAUAUUUAUUAUUAGUUAUAUUAAAUUAUUAUUUAAGUAAUUAUUAUUAGUUAUAUUAAAUUGUUAAAUAAUAAUAAAUUUUAUAUAUUAAUUAUUAUAAUAUAAUUUUAUAAUAUAAUAUUAUGUUAUAUUUUUUUUAUAUACUAUUUAAAUACUUAUUAUUAGUUAUAGUAACUUAUCAAAUAUUAAUCAAUUUUAUUUAUUAAUUAUUAUAUAAUUAAAUAAUACAUUAUUUUGUUAUAUUUUUAAUAUAAUGAAAAUUAAAAUAUGAAUAAUAAAUAAUAAAUUUAUUAAUUUAUAUUAAUAAUUAUGAUGUAAAAAUAAAAGAAAAUAAAAAUUAAUAUCAUAUUAAAUUAAAAAGUUAUAUUUAUUUAUUAUUAUUUAUUAAAAAAAAAAAAGCAAAAGCAAAACACUAAUAUGGCAACUACCGCAUUAGCUAAACCCAACUCCGCAUUAGCAUACCCCCUUUAACCCAUUACAAUUUUUUUACAAACACAACCUUGUUAUUAAGUUAAUGUGAACUGUAUUUUAAUACCCUGUAAUCCUAUGAUUCAAGCACAGCCAAAGUGAUGAACUGAGACCAGCAAAGCCAAACCAAAUGAUUUCAACGACAUAGUUGGGAUGAUAAAACAAGAAUGUUCUACCUACAGUUAUGGUUCUGGCUUAUUGACAAUCAUUCAAGCAAACUUACUUCAAGAAACGUGUAACAUGAGGGCGAUUCCCACAUUGAUGAUACAGGUACAAUUGAGGUCUUGGCCACUGUGAAAUUGCAGCACAUAGCAACAAUGGCAAGCAUUAAAUUGCAACCCAGGCUAGCAUUCCAUUAAAGACUAGAGAUGGCUGGACUUGAGAAGCAAAAUGGAAUGUUAAGCAUCAGAAACCUUCUUAAAAGAAAAGCAAGUUUCACCGUCAAAACUUAUGGAGUACACCUGAGAGUUAAGCUUCUCAAAGAAUAAUAAUCAAACUCAAUAAGAGAUGAAGAGUAGCUCAACUGAAAGAGUUUCAAAUAAUUCACGCAGCUCCAUCACAGUAUAAUCAAUCACUCAUCACCCCAAGUUGAUGGUCCACCCAAUCCAACUUCAGGUUCCUGAGACAAUUGAACUGUCAGACCCAUACCCCUGUUUUUAGAUUUCUUCUUCUUAGCAGAAGAGGUAACUAAGCCAUCAACUGAGUUGAAUUUAGAAGCUUCAUUAACCAUAUUGUCACCAUCAAAUUCAGGAUUUCCUGCAAUAUUGGCAGAGAAGAGCUCUGUGAAAGCGGCUUCUUGAUUGUCAAUAAUGUCAAGUUCUCCGUGUUUCUCCUUUGACUGUUUCUUCUGUUUCUUUUUAAAUAUGUUAUCAUCAUCGUCAACUUGAAUGUCUUUGUUUGAGUGAUUUUCACUGGUUUUCUUUCUCUUCCGCUUCAGAUCUUUCUCCAUAUCAACAUCUCUAGAACUAUUUAGAUCGCCAUCUUUGUUUCGACCAGGCACAAUGCCUCCAGAGUUCAUUGCAUCAUUAAUAGCAUCAAGCUCCCCUUCUUUCUCUUUUGACUUCUUUUUCAAUUUCUUCCCUGCUGCAGAAUCACUUUUGCGCCACUGAAUUUCUUUAUUUGAGGGUUUGUCAUUUGUUUCUCUAGUGCCAUCUCUUUUCUUUUCCAUAUGAACUUUUAUCGUGUCAUCAGCAUUAUUUGAGGAAUCAUUAACUUUAUCAACUAUAUUGUCCUUCUCAUUUUUGGUGAUUCUAUCUAUUGGUCUAGCAUUGAAUAUAUGCAAGUUUGGCAAUAGAUUUUUGACCUGCAACAAUAUUGAACAUAGAUUAAUCCAGCUAGGAGCAGAAUUCUUGAAAGAUGAUUAACAUGAUAAAAUGAUUGCGAUAUUACCUUCUUUGCCAAUUUAUCAUAUUCAGCUACAGGGUUUCCUUGUAGAUUGAGGUUAUUCAGACUGACUAAUGACUUCAGCACCUGCUAUUCGAGCAUGUUACCAUUAUGCAUGGUGACGAAGUAUAUAGAAAAAACUUGAUGAAAACAAAUAUAAAAGAAACAAAUAUUUCAAUGCCUCACCUUCAAUUCUGACCAUCUCGUGAUCAAGUUCUUUCCUAAGUCUAAAUUUUGAAGCUUCUUAUUAAAAGCCAACUCGGCCGGAAGAGUCUAGACAAUUCAGAGAGUGAGACAGAGAAAGACAACAUAAGAAAUGAACAAAAUAUCAAUCAUGAUAUUAACAAACAAAAAAAAAUAUAAUGAAUUUGAGGAUAGCCUGCUAUCAUAAAAUGACCACUGGGUACAUGAUUUACCUUAAUGUCAUUGUCAGCAAGUCGGAGUUCUUUCAAUUCUGUGCAAGACUUGAGCGAAGAACCAAUAAUCUGGACUUGGCAGUUUGAGAGAGAGAGCUGGAGCCAAUCUUGAUUAACAGCCUUAGCAACAGU